GAUGCUAUCAAGUUUUCUGCCAUUAGAUCUAUCCUUUUAAUCAUUUUCACCUGUUAGAUCAUGCUAUUCAACCAAUCACCCACUUAACUCUAAGAAACCACUGUCAUCCUAACCGCAUAUUGCUUCAUCCAAAGGCCUAAAACUUAAUGACACCAAUGACUUUGUGCUAUUAAUAGUAUUCUAGCCUAGUUCCAUAUAUUUCUAUAUAUAUAUAGAAUUAGGCUUUGAGCUAGAAUAUUUUUAGUAGUAUUUGGAUUCUUUUACUACUAAAUUUAUAAUUGUUGGAUGAAAAAAUUAUGGGAUUGGGAUGAUAGUAAUUUUCUAGGAUUUAGUGGGUGGUUAGUAGAAUAAGAAGUGGAAUUGAUUAAAGGAUAAUGCUAAUAGUGGAAAACUUAAUAGCAUCAAAUACUUGGUGUUAUAAGAAGUUUCCCAACCAGAAUCUAUAUAUAGAUAGGAAUACUAUUAAUAGUAUUUGAAUUCUUUAGCUAUUUAGUUUUUAAUCCUUAUAUAAAAGAGAAAACUUCAAAUACCCCCCUGUGGUUUCGCACUUUUUUAUUUUAGUACCUUAUGGUUUAAAAUGUAUCAAGUUAGUACCCUGUGGUUUCGCACUUUCUCACUUUAGUACUUGAUAUUAUGGAAAUAAUGUUUACUAUCAACUUUUUGCAUUUCGAUGCCUAGGAGUUAGUAAAGAUUAGUGAAAUAGUAAUAAUUUAAGGGUGAAAAAGUUGAUAGUAAAUUCUAUUCAUAUACUAUUAAUAGGAACUAGGCUGGAAUACUAUUAAUAGCAUCAAUGACUUGGUGCUAUUAAGUUUUCUGUUCUUAGAUUAAAAGAUGUGCGGUUAGGAUGAUGUGGGCUUCCUAGGGUUGAGUGGAUGGUUGGUUGAAUAAUAUAAUCGAACGGAUAAAAAUGAUAAAAGAGAUAAAUCUAACGGCAGAAAACUUGAUAGCACCGAAUGCUUCGUACUAUCGAUAGUAUCCCAGCCGGACUCCUAUUAAUAGUAUAGCGAGUGAUCCCUCUCUCUUUGUACAUAUGUCAAAUUAUUUUUUAGGUAUAAACUCAUAAAACAUAUUUAAACUAUGAUCCAUUUUGAUUAAGCUAUCUAAUUUUUAAAAAUUUUUAUUUUACCGUCCAAUUUUUUAAUUUGUUUGAUUUGAGUCGGUCAAAGAUGUUUUGACUUUAGAAAUUCAAACUAAUUACUUAUUUUAAUAAAUUUAUAGUUGUGAAAAUUAUAUGGAACAUUCUAAUUAAAUAUGUAAAAAUAAAGGGCACACUCAAAUUUUUAAGCUAAAGCAUCGUUGACUGAUUUAAAUCAAACAAAUUGACAGUUGAAUAGUUUUGAAAAAUAUGAUAGAAAAAGAACUCAUUUUGAUCGUAGUGCUAAAAAAUUAAAUUUUAGAAUGACUCGUUAUUUCUCUGCAAAGCGCAUAAAAAUGUUCAUAAUAAGAAUUUCUAUCUUUUAAUUAGAGCGUAUUGCUUCGUUUCGACGUCUUUUGGAGUCCAACAAUAAUAUUCUUAUAGGGUGGUCGUCUAGAUAUAGUUCUUUUUCACAACGUAUUGAUAAAUUAGCUAAGUGGGCCUUGGUUCCCAGGUAGCUUCUAGUUGGUCUUCUUUCGCAGAGUUUGAGAAGUCUGUAACUCCUUAUCAUGUGGAAUAAAUGCCUUAUGGUGUUCUUUUCAAAAAAAAAAAAAGAAAAAAAAGAAUUUCUAUCUUUUAAAAUAAGUUACAAGAAACAUUACAGAAAUAAUUUUAACACUGUGAUGUAUAGAAGUAGUAAUGCUAGAUAAGAAGUAGUGAAUUAAUCUUUGAGGCAGCAUUUAAUUUGAGGAUUUUAAUAUCAGGGAUAUAAUGAAAACAUAUUUUCAAAGAAAAUUUAAAUUUUGAUUACAAAUGUCAUAUAUUAAUUGUUUGUUUGGCUGAAAAUUUUGUGUAGUUAUUAUUAUGAUGAAUCCGUCACUUACAAUGGUACCAGAUUGUGUAAGAUGCCUCAAAGAUUAAUAAAAAAAAAUUCCUGUUUGUCAGGCCAUGAAAAAAAAAAAAAAAAAAAAAAAAAGAAAAGAGAAAGAGAGAAAAAAAAAAUAAAAAAUUAAAGUACUCAAAUAUUUAAGUGGAUCGGCUACUAACCUAUGUCCACGUAUCAAAAACAAAGUGGAUUUCAUUAUAAUCAAACUAAAGUAUAAAAGAUGUAUCUUUCACAAAAUUCCAAUUCUAAAAUGUACUACAUAAUUUCUUUCAUUCGUCGCCCCUAAUUUACAGAAUAAAAAUAUAUUAAUAAUAGUGGCUAAACCCAAAUAUAAAUAGAAAUACAAAUUGACUAAAAUUAAAGAAUAGUUUUAAUAAUAUUAUGCAUAAUCUAAACUUAACUUAAUAAAUAAUCAAAAUAGAAUAGAAUUAAAAAUUUUGUAAUUUCAGAAUUGGAGACAUAUCUAUAUGACACGUGUCUUUGCUAUUUCCUGAAAAAAAAAAAAGAAAAGAAAAAGAGAUAUAGCAUCUAGAAAGGUUUUAGUAGGGAACUAGGGAUAGCUCAAUGAUCACUUCGCUUGGUUGGAAAGUGCUAAUGUAUCUAUUACUAUUCCACUUUAUUCUUCAAUCAAAUUAAUAUAUUAUUUUAAAACAUCAUAAAAGCAGCUAAGUUUUUAAAUUUGCUUGGUAAGAAAUAAAUCAUUAUCUCCCAAAAUCAUAGUGCACAAAGUAGAUUCCAAUUCUAUGUUCACAUUCAUUUCAUAAGAUAAUAACAACAAUAAUAUAAUAAUAAUUACAAGCUUUCUUUUAAGAGAAAUAUAACAUAUUAUCUGCUUCGUUCUUAUAAUAAUAGUAAGUUGAUGUUGAAGCAUCAUAGAUGAGCUUUCUUUACAUUUAGUCCCAUUAAAAAAUUUUGUUGUAUAAAUGGUCCUAUCAAAAUUGUAAAUACAGAAAUAGUUCUAUAUUGUACGCAUAGCGCCACGGCUAGAGGAGGGAGCAAAAUUUUUAGUGAGGACUAUGGUUCAUUUAUCAUGUUUAAUUAGAAUAUAGGAAUUCAUUUACAAUGUUUAGCUAAAUAACAUAAUGCAUUUUUAAAAAUAUAAUAUAAGCCUCUCUUUCCUCAUAUAUUUUUAUAAUAACGGUGAAUGAAUCAUCCUGUUCACUGUAAAUAUAUCCCCUUUAUAUAUCUGGCGUGGUGCUUAUAUAUACAAAUAUAAGGUUAUUUCUGCACUUAUAAUUUUAAUUAGUAGGGUCAUUUAUGAAAUGAAGUUUUGUAAGAGGGCUAAAUAGCUUUCGAUUUUUUUGGACUUGUACUUUAUAAUUCAUGUAGAAUGACAUAAAAAUUAUAAUAAAAAGAUUAAAAUAGAUCAGUAAUUUGAAAUAUAAUUAAAAUUUAAUUUGUUUAAUGUUGAAAUGGUUAUUUUAAAGAAGAAAAGGGAAUGUUUAAUUACUGAUCAACUAAUGGAGAGGAAUAUAUUUGCAAACGAUACUAAUUUUGGAGGGAUAUAUAUAUAAUAACUCAAGCUUUGUAGGAAAAACUAAUGUAAUUCUAUCACUUCUUAGGGAUGCAUAUAAAAUUAUGGCUUAAUUACAUAUAUUAUAUUAUGGUAGAAAUAAGGUUUUUUUAAUCUUUCUGCAAUAUAUAUUUUUUCUUCAAAGGGACCACUCAAAUACAUUUUUUUUUUUUUUCAAUUCUUACCCUGUAAACAAUAAACAUGUAAUUUUAUAUAAAAACUACUAAAAAAACACUGAUUAAAAAUGAUGGAGUAUAAGCUCAUUUGACACGAAAAAUAAUAAAAUAUAUAAAUAUAACAAAAAAAUAAUUUAAUAUAAUUUGAUAGAAGCUUUUAAUAACUCUAUCAUGAAAAUUCUGUUUUUUUUUUUUAUCUAAAACAAUAGAUUUGUUAAAAAUAAUUUAGAGAUUGGCAAGAAAAAUAAUAGUUUUGUGAUAUAUGUAUAAUAAAAGAAAAUAGUAUAAGGUAAAAAAAUUAAAAAUAAAUCUAAAAUAUAGUGUUGAGAUUGAUAAAUAUAAUAAUAUAUACAAUGGUGUCUUUGAAAAAGAAAAGUAAAAUAUAGUGUAAAAAAAAAUUCAUCUAACAUACAGCGAUGAAAUUGAUAAAAUAUAAUAAUACGAUAAGGUUUUUUUUUUAAAAAAAGUAGUAAAUGAAAGCAAUAUUAAGCACGGUGUAGUAAAGUGUAAUUAAUGAUAAAAUUAAGAGCAACAUUGCUGAUAUAUUCCAAAAUAGGAUAUGCAUCUACAUCCUCUUCAUAGGAUUUUUUUUGAACUCUAAAAUGAGGAUGUAAGAUCUAGACGCAGACUGCUGAUUCGGAUCGGGAGGAGUCCCCCACCUCUCGCUCCUUUUCUUACCCGAUUUGGAGGGAUUCGGGGCAAGUUAAUUUUAAUCCUAUUUUUAGCUCCUACUUACCGUUUCAUUCAGGACGGAUCAGAAUUGGAGCGAAUUUUUAACGGAUCGAGACAGAUCAAAAAAAGAAAAGUGUCUCCUGCCUUUCGCUUUAUUCACUUGGCAAAUUUGGGCGAAUUCAGUAGCGUAGAUUACAUUUUUUCUAUACUUUUUGUUCUCACUUACCACCCCAUUUAGAGAAGAUCGUGUAGGAACUCGGCCACUCCGGAUCCAUUUGCAUCUCUAUCUACAUAUCUACAGCCACCUUUUUGGGUGUACAAGUAUUAUUUUCCUAAAUAUUAACCCUCUUUUUAUUGAAUAUAUUCAAAAACACAAUAAAUCUUUAAAUGGGCCGGCCCAAUUAGACUCGGCCCACUAAUUCCCUCGCGCCUCCUCCUCCGCUUCGUCUCCCUCUUCGAUCCCCAUUCCGAAUUUAUGACCGUUACACGAAACCCUAACCCUUCCCCCCCACCUCUCUCUCUCUCUCUCUCGAUCGAUCGAUCCAAAACCAUGGGGAUGUAAUAUCCCCAAAACCCUAGGAGUCGUCCCCUCGCUCUUCGUUCUCUUUCUCUUAAGUUCCUAUAUAUACAUCUCUCAGCCAUGGAUCCCCCCCCCUUUGCUCGAUCUUCGGCCCCUCGUACCGCAAGGUCGGUCACUAAAACCCUAAAACAAAAAAAAACUUACUACUUUCCUUUGAAAAAUCUUUAAUCGCUAAUUGAUAGUUGCGUAAAUGUGAUGAUUUUGAAGUUUGAAGCAGUAAUUGCACUGUUGAAUAUUAGUAAAAUAUGUUUCUCAGGGGUGAAAUUAUUGUAUGCGCCUGGUGUACUGUGCGUAGCGCUCCUAAACCCUAAUCAUGGAGAGUUCAAAAUCGGAAUUUGAUUCGUUGGCUGUGUUUUUCCACAUUCAAAGUUCUUACGUAUCAAAAUCAUAAAUUUCGGACACCUAUUUCUCAAGAAUCGGAAAAUGGUCCUUCUAUCUGCAGUUGGGUUUUGGAACUACUUGUGGUACUACAUGAUGCCUAGCUAAUAGAAAUUGAAAAAUUAUGAUUUUUUUUAUACUUAGGUUCAAGAAUUUAAGUUUUGUGACAUGUAGUGAUGCCGAGCAUUCGUCAGCACAGUGCGGUAUGAUGCGUGCCAUCGUCCGUGACGUGCCAAUGUGUGCCUUUGGCAAAUUUACCAGUAUGCCGACAAACUUUGACAUGACAUUUAUUUUCUGUAGCGCCAGUAUAUUUUCAGUUGCUCUCAAUAAAUUUUGUCACCAAAUCUUUUUAUGUCUUAAAAAUGAGGGAUUUGAGCCAUUCGAUCACAACGGAGUUUUGUGCUGUGUUGAUACUUUCUCAGCCUUGUACGGCAUGGGGGCCACAACCGGUGCCGAUGAACACUUAUGUCCUUGCUUAGGCCCACAGGUUCUUUACAUGUUGUAGAUUACAUUGGUCGGAUUACAUGUUUUUUUUUUUUUUUUAAGACUUUGAUCACUGCAUAUUGUUUGUGGUGCAUGCUGCACUGUGCAUUAGGUGCAUGCAAUUACUGCUAGCGCUUUUUACCAAGUUUUGGUCUGACUUGUGAUACAUCAGAUACCAUGCGUGGAGCAAUGUAUACUUGAAUGAGCAUCGGAUAAAUUCAAAUCUAGUCAUGUUUAUAUUUGAUCAAGUAUGUUUCUGAUUAGUGUAAUAUGGCUUGUUUGGUCUCCAAAAGCUUUAAUUUUGAUAACUUGUUUGUUUAUCCUAAGUAUAAUGCUUGUUGUGAUCUUGUUUAUUCCAAAUUUUUAGAAAUAAGCUUGAGAAAAAAAAAAAAAAAACCAAUUUUGAGUAACAGAGUGCACUUUGGACAGGGCCAAUAUUACUACAAGUAAUUUGCAGGUGAGAGAGUAGGAGAAGGCCAUGUUAGGGGGCAUUGCUCGUGCUCGGCUCGCAGAAGAGCGCAAGGCUUGGCGCAAGAAUCAUCCCCAUGUCCUCUUAUCUAUCUACUCUAUCUACUCUGUCUACUCUAUCUAUUGAUCUCUAUCUCCCUCUUGUUUCCUCUUUUGUAUGAAGCUAAGAUCCUAUUGUUUUCUUUUGGCUCGAUAGGGUUUUGUGGCGAAGCCUGAGACAUUGCCCGAUGGCUCCGUCAAUCUUAUGGUGUGGCGCUGCACCAUUCCUGGAAAGCAAGGGGUGAACUCCCAUCUCUUCCCUCUUUUCCCUCUCUUUGUUAUUUCAUUUUUCUUUUUUAUCACCUCUGAGGUUUUAGAAUUUCGUGAGAUAGCGUUCUUUGCCUAGUUAAUUUUUGAUACGUAUGCUGACAAACAGAUGGACGUGCCGUUAAAAGUUCAUGAUCCUGAAUUUUGGCUAGAAUAUGGCAUAGAGAAGUUAAGCUCUUUUUUAUAUUUGUGAAUUGACAUUUGUGUAUAUCUCGCUCGUUCAACUUUGGUGCUAAUCUUUGAGAGUUCUUCUUGAAUAUUCUAGAUCAAGGGAAAAAUGAAAUCGUCUGUGUCACUUAAAUCAGAGAGCCAAAUGGUGUUAUUUUGGCACGUAAACAAAGUUCUCUUGAUCAAGAAGCCUCUUGCUGCACUAUUGCUAAUGAGAAGUCUCUCAUGUCUAUUCUGUGACUCUGAAUUUGUAAACAAGUUUAUUACAAAUUUAAGUGAUUUUUUGCUUUUCAUUCUAUUUCUUUAGGUCCUAUACUGAAAGAUACCACUUCUCAUUCUGGAUUUUGGUCCUAAUUUACAUAUUCUCCUUUCUUUAAACAUUAUUAAUGUGUUCUUCAAUUUUUUGCAAAUAAAUGUCUUAUUGAAAAAUAAAAAGAGGAUCCCUGACAUAUGAUACUGCAGACUGAUUGGGAGGGCGGCUAUUAUCCUCUUACUCUAGGGUUCAGUGAAGAUUAUCCAACCAAGCCUCCUAAAUGCACGUUCCCUCAAGGGUUUUUCCAUCCAAAUGUCUUCUCUUCUGGGUUGGUUUGCCUAUCAAUUCUCGAUGAAUAUCAUGUAAGUUCGUGAUAUUGUUCCUUGAGGCUUAGUGCCUAUUUUUUUUGGUUUCUAGAACAACUUUUCUACUUCUGAAAGCACAAGCUCCUAGAGACCAAGUGUUUGGCCUAACAAAGAUUCCCGAGCUUUAACUGUAGCGAAAAGCUAAAAUUAAGUUUUGGGGGCUCAAAAGUAAAAAAGUAAAAGCUCUAAUAUUGAACCUUCUAGUUCUGUUUUAGCAAGUAGCCGACAUAGAAGAGAUUUUUAACGAAAAGGCUAAUUGCCUUUUAUUUUGGUUUAUUUAGCAUUUCUACAGAAGCUUUGGUUGGGUUUAAUGUCCUAGCUUUGUUAACCGGAUGUUCUUACUAAUUUAUAAAUUACAUUCAGGGGUGGAAACCAGCCAUUACCGUGACGCAAAUUCUGGUGGGAGUACAGAAUCUACUUAAUCAGCCAAAUUUUGCAAGUCUUGCUCAGGGUACCCCUUGUCACCUUUUAACUCAGGUUAGUGAUAAAAAUACAAAUCCUUCUUUUGGGUUGUUUAGACUGUUGCUUUUGAUAAAGGAAUUUCAAAUUUGUAUUGGCAGUCAUAGGAAUAAGUAUAAACAUAUUUUCUACUUGAAUCAUCUUAGCAGCUUCUUAGUUAAACAGAAACAAAAUCUUUGAAUUAGGGUUUCUAUUUUUGGUCCCACAAGAUUGUUUCCCCUUUAUGCCAUAGAGAAACUCCUUGCCAAACGCCGACGAUUAAGGCCUCUUUUAGAACUGCAGACAUGAUUGUGUUACCUGCUGUAAGAAACUACGAUGAAAAAAAAUAUUAUGGUUAUCUUCAUAAGUAAUAUCACGAUGCACAUAUUGCAACAAAUCGGUUGAGAUAUAUUUUUUGUGGUCCACUGGAACACAAUGUGACUUAUCUCUAUACGUCUUCAUCCCAGCUCUAUAUAUUUAACGCAUGGACAAAAUUUACAGGAUGCAGCGGAGUACAAGAAACGAGUUCGAGAGCAGGCAAAACAAUACCAAUCAAAAGUCUAGUACCGUUCUUAUUUCGUAUUUUUGGGGGGGUUUAAAAACUGUCUUUUAUAUAGGUCUUUUUGAUCAUCAUAAACACAUCAUGUAAUAAAUUAGAGAUAACAUUUCCCCAGGGCUUGUAUGCAAACUUUGCUGCAAACCUAACUAUUUGAUGUUAUGGUUUUAUGAUUGAUAGUCUUUAUUGCAUGUUUGUGUUAAUGAUCUGCGAUUUGGUAAUGUUUUUACAUGGUAUUGUAACAAUUCUUAGUCUUUUCUAACUAUUUUAGCGAAUGAAUUUUUAUGUUGUUAAACUGUUGAAUAUUAGAAUCAUACGUUCUAUCAUGAUUUUUGAUUUUCAAAGACAAAAUGUAGAUGGCGGUUCUUCUUUGUGAUUUUUCCUCGUUCACGAUCUGCAAUUUGCAAUUCUUUUUAUUCUCAAGGAUGGAGCCGUCACGAGAACAAAAUUAGAAUUAGGGUUAGAUCGGAAUCCUCGUUUAUGUUAUAUAUAAUAUAUUAAUAUAACCUAAUGUAAGAUGUUUUAAUCACGUUCGUCCCAGCAUGAAUCGUGUCUGGAUAUACUCAAAUCGUUGGAUCGAUUGUAUCCGUAGGAACCGUUUUGAAUAAAUCACGUGGAUCACAUCCAAUAUUUGUAUUUUAAGCUUAUAAUGCCAAAUAAUUUUUCCACGUAAUUACAAGUAGUUGAAAAUGCAAUAUUUACAAUUACAUGAAUUUUAUUUUAUUGGAUUUGGUUGAAAGCACUGCUGCUGCAAAUAAUUUUUCGCCUUAUGCAGCUGAGAAUUGUAUUUAUAAAUUUUAUUACUUUAAAUAUAUAUAGGAGGAUAAGAUUACCCUCGUCGUGGAAGAAAAUAAUACUCUUUUCGUAAAGGCGAUUUGGCUGGUAAGAUUAUCUCGUAUUGAAAAUUGCUUUUUUUAGUUAUUAUGUUUAGAAUCGUGGCCAAUUUGGAUGUAGUUUAAAAAAAAAUCAUAUAUCUUUUUUAAAUUUUUAUAUAUAAUUAAAAGUACAGUGCAGUUGUGACGGCAUACAAUCAAAUAAAUAUAACAAAUUAUUAUAUUAAAUGGGGCUACAGUUUGUGAGCGAAAAAUAUAAGUUAUCUAGAGAUUUUGUCAUAAAUAAGAUAUAUUAUCGGACAGGCAUAUCUGCAGAAUAGUUUAUUACUGUGCCCUUCAGCCGUAGUGGAACUUCUAAUCAUUUGAUGCGGUUCUUCAAGAAGCGCUUCCUGCAGUCGCAUAACUCGACGGCGUUUCUGUCGGGAUCAUGGAAGUAGAGCUGGUCCGACACAACCCCUUCAUCUCCAACCGCCAGACUCACGUACUCAACUCCCAUGUCUUCCAGCUUCUUCUUUGAUAUCCAUAUGUUACCACACUGCCAUUAAUUAAUUUUUUAAGUUAAAUAAUUAAGAUGAUGAUUUAGUUAUGUUACAAAAAAGCUCUUUUUUUUUUCCUUUUUUUUCUUUUUUUUUUCUUGGAGCAAUUAUUUAUAUAUCUUCAAAAAAUUUCUGACUUUAUAAUUUACCCGUGCUCGGAAGGUUAAUAUAAAUUUGGUUAAUGAACAUUUAAAGUUAAAUUUCUGUUAAUAUAAAUUCUGACUUUCUUAUUUGCCAUUAAAUUCUGACUUUCUUAUUUACCCUCCCUUAAAAUAUUUAAAGUUUUUUCAAAUAUAUUUUUAAAGUUAAAUUCUGUUAUUAAUGAACGGUUAUUCCUAACCAUUAUCUUUAUAAAAUCACUAUUUUAUCUUUUCAAAUAUAUUCUUUUACUAUCACCAGUUUUUCUUAUUUACCCUUAAAUUAGGGACAAAAGGAGUAUUUUAAUUUUUUGCACUUUCAAACAUACUUUUUACCGUCACUAACUUUUCUUAUUUGUCUUUAAAUUAGAGAUAAAAGAGAUAUUCUAAUUUCCUUUUAAGUACAUUAGAAAUUUAAUCUGGUUUUAAUGCGAAAUAACUUAACGAGUACUAACAACGGGAGUAUUUUUGAAUAAUGGAGAAAUAUACUAGGGCUAUCUUUGAAACAACAAUAAAAAAGUAUGUAUAUAUAAGAUACUUUAGAAGUUUUGAGGGGUAUAUAAGUAAUUAUCCCUAUAUAUUUCAGGUGAAAAUUGCACUACUAGUCCCUGAACUUUGUAAGUUUAUGUUCCCCUAUGUAUGUUCGUACACCAUGUAAUCAUUAGUUUCAUCAUCUAAAUCUCAUGCUUUAAAAAAUUUACAUAGAAAAAAAACUGUAAAUUAAUGGAUGGUAAGGUUGGAACAUGAGGUGAAAGUUGCACUAGGUGUAGGCAAUAUUUGGCUUCUUCUGAUAGUAAGUAUACAUAGGGAUUAAAAUUAAAAUUUUUAAAGAGUUUAGGGAUCACUAUUCACUAAUGUUGAACUUGAAUAUUCCAGUAUUAACCAUACAAAAAUGUGCAAAUAAUAACCUUAUUAAAAAAAAGAAAAAGGAAAGAAAGGAGAAGGCGGUGGAGGGCUAACUACAUCAGUAAUUUUGCAUAUUUGUAGGGGUAUAUAUGCAAAAAAUCCCAUUAUAUAAAUAAAGCUUAACACUUUUAUAUAUAUAUAUAUAUAUAUAUAUAUAUAUAUAUAUAUAUAUAUAUAUAUUAUCANNNNAAAUCGACGAUCGGCUCCGUUAGACUUGAUCUACACUAUUGAAAGUAUUUAGAAACUAAAUUUCAUAAUUUUUCGAUAUCAUUUACCUAUCAAACAAGUAGUCUAAAAUUGAACGGCUGAAAAUAAAAAUUUUUUGAAAAAUGAUGAUAAAAGAUUUAAUUUCAAGAUCAGAUAUACUGAUCUUACUCUAAAUAGUGAAAAGAAUUUUCUAUAAAAUUUUCAUCGCAUUUGGAUUGUUUUACACCGUUAAACUCACAAACACACCACAUUGGCCAUUAAAAUUGUCAAUUUUGAGAUCUUUUGAUCACUAGUCAAAUAAUGUCGAAAAAAUCUGAAAUUUAGUUUUCAAAUACUUUAAAUAGUGUAGAUCAAGUCUAACGGAGCUGAUCGUCGAUUUGGAAGCCGCAUUAUCGAAAACAACUUGGUAGCACGGAGCGCUCCGUGCUAGCGAUAGCAUAGUAGCCGGACUCUAUAUAUAUAUAUAUAUAUAUAUAAACAAAAUCACACACACAUUACUCCAAUUAGGGAGGUGAUCAUUUGUUAAGCAUUGUCUCACUUGAAAGGAAAUGUGGUUGCUCGUCGGAUCGAUCACCGACGGCUUCGCCGGUGCAUCGACAUCCGUACUCCGCUGCAGCAAAUGUAUGCCUAUCCCGUUUUGGUGUAUCCUGCGCAUUGCACACUGAUUAGUCUCGUGUCGAAAGACGAUAACAACAAAAUAUUUAUAUACUUAUCUAUAAAACUUUUGUGUUACAUAGGUUGAGAACCUUUUAUUCAAGUUCUUAGUACUAGUAGAUCACUAAAAGCAUAUAUAGUGAUAAGAUACAUUAAUUGCUCCUGCACCGGAACGAACAUUUCGUACUACAUGUGAUGCACGAACAUUUCGUACUACAUGUGAUGCAGAUUCUAACUACAAUAUUCUCGAUAUGGAUACAGGGAGCUUCGAUCGCUGAAUCAAGAUUUUAAUCCUUUUGUUACCAUGCUCCUUUGAAAUCGAGCGACGGUGGCCGUUCGAUCAGCUCAAACCCUAGCACCUCCUGAUAGAACUUGAGAGAUUUUUCUACAGAGGAGCACAAAUAUGCAACAUGGUUGAUACAGAGGAGAGAGGUAGGGAGGAGCUCUUUUUGUUCUUGUGAGCUCAUGCCCUUUUUUUAUUUUUAUUUUUUUUUUCUUAUAACCAUUUAAACUUCUACUAAUUAAUCUCCAUAUAUAGAGAGAGAGAGAUCCACUGAAAAGAGUUUUGGUCAAACCACAUGCAAUCACAUUAAAUCUAAGGGGGAUGGAUCUUUCCUUAAGUUAUGGCCCUGUAUAUGAUGAUAUAUCUAAGAUCACAACUCCCUAAAUUUUGGUGCCAUUUAAUUAUAUACAUUUUCUUUCAGGUCAACUUCAUUUGCUGGUUUUAGAGAAUAAUAUGGUAACAUAAAAAUCUCAAUCCAUUUGAGAUAUCUUAGAAAGUAUAUUUAGUGAUAACUUAUACGUUAUGAUGAUUUUUUUUUGCAUGCAUGCUAUAUACAAACAUGAUUUUCAACUAUUAAGUGACCUUUCAUCUCAUGUGUAGAAACCAAAAAUUUAAGUUUCCUACACGCCCAAAAUUGCACGACAACGUAGAAGAUAAGAACGGAGAAAUAAAAAGUUCACAAUAAUAAUCUUAAACAACUCCACAUAUAAAUUUAAUCAACUUCACUAAGAGUAUCCAAAACAUCAUAUAAUGAAAAAUAAAAAAAAUACCAAAUAAACCUUCAACCAAAAACAUUCUACAAUGAAUAUUCACAAGAGAGGGAAAGAGACAAAUUAGAUGUCACCCACCUCAAACCUCGCAGAAUUCCAACCAGCUAUGGACUCUCUUUCACACUUCUCUUGCUCUCGAGAAAAACACCAAAACAAGAAAAUUAAGAAGUAAAGAGAAGUAGCUCUGGUUUUCUCACUUGACCUAUUUCCAUCUGACCACUAACUAAAACUCAUGCGGUCCAGCUUGGCUCAAUUAGCCUAAAAUAAGUCACAAAUCAACUUAACUCAAAAGAAUAAAAAAAAAGGACCUAUUUAAGCAAUAGAUAAUUGGGCUCCUAUAAAUACACUUAUUAAUUUAAUAAACAAAAGGAAAUAAAAAGUAAGUUUGAUUUUGUCCCUUCUAACAUCUUGAACACUACUAUUGUUUAGAAUGCUGUACUAAGAGCCUGUUUAUUUGCACAUAGUUAAUUAUAAUUGUGCUGCAGAUGUAACUAUAUCUAAAUUCAAAUUCGACAUUUAUUUUAUACAUCUUAAUUCAACUGCUGCAGUUAUAAUUGCAGGAGAGAAAUUUUAAACAAAAGGUAAACUUAUCUCACAAAAAAUAUUUCAAAAUUUUUUCCUCUUCUACAUAGGUGGUAAUCUCACCAAUCCAUAUAUAAAAUGAUAGAAAUUUGUAAAUUGAUUUCUCAACCGCAUACAACCAAACAACAUAUUUAUAACUACAGCACUUUCUAUUUAUUAUAUCCAACUAAAUAAGAUGAGUGAAUUAUAAUUAUACUAUAUUUAUAAUUAUAUUGAACCAAACGGCCCCUAGUUUCACCUACGAGACGACGAGAAAAUGACUUAGAGGCUACAAGUUUAUAGUAUGCCGUUUUAGACAUUAAUCAUAUAUAUAUAAUCCUCGUGUAACAAAUACAAUAAAUUUAUUAAAUAAAUCAAAAAAUGACGAGUAAGAUAUAUAGGCUCUAAAUUUAUUUUUUUAAUCAUUGCAUUAUUUGCUAAUAUUGUACGACGCGAGCCAAGCUCCUCACCAAAUUAAGUGAUUUAUCUUAUUACGAGAAAAAAUGAGUUUGAAGUUUACUAUAGUACGUACGCUAUUGUGUAUAUUUAAUCAUAUCCUUCAUCAACCAAUUACCAAGUAAAUCUUAAAUAAUAAUAAUAAUAAAAUGUGUUAAAUAAGAUAUAUGUUCGAUCUAACUAAUAGGCCGGCCCAGUUUGCGAGCAUGUUAAUUAUAUUUCAUAAAUUACGGAACAAGUUACUGUUUAAAGCUAUUUCUACAUAUGAUAAGGCAAGUUAGUUGGGAAAAUAUUUCUACAUAUAUAGUUCUAAUCAACACUGUAUAAUAUCCAUAGAUGCCAACUUGGUCUCAUCACUUCUCUCUCUCUCUCUGCUUUUGCUUAUCGAGAAGCUUCUAGAAUUCAUUGCAUCCAUUCAUUCAUUCAUUUUACUUAAUUAACCAGGAGUUGAAAUAUACUAUUCAUUAUAAACACCGUCCUCUAACAGCUUAAGCUUUUAGAGUACAACGGUUGUUUAACAUGGUAUCAGAGCCCAUGACGUGGGCUUGAAUUAAAUGGGAGGAAAUUAAUAUGCUAGGAGCCUGGCGUGACUCGAACUCAGGACCUCCUGCUCUGAUACCAUGUGAAACAUCCGUUAUAUUCUAAAAGCUUAAGCUGUUAGAUAACGGUGUUUAAACAUUUUUAUAUUUAACACUCCCCCUCACGUCUGAGCGCGAAACUUUUCAAUCGGCCCAUGAUACCAUGUGAAACAACCGUUGUACUCUAAAAGCUUAAGUUUUUAGAGUACAACGGUUGUUUCAAGCUUUUAGAGUACAACGGUUGUUUCACAUGGUAUCAGAGCAGGAGAUCCUGAGUUCGAGUCACGCCAGACUCCUAGCAUAUUAAUUUCCUCCCAUUUAAUUCAAACCCACGUCAUGGGCCGACUAAAAAGUCUCGAGCCCAGACGUGAGGGGGAGUGUUAAAUAUAAAAGUGUUUAAACACCGUUCCCUAACAGCUUAAGCUUUUAGAGUACAACGGUUGUUUCACAUUAAAAAAGUCUCGAGCCCAGACGUGAGGGGGAGUGUUAAAUAUAAAAAUGUUUAAACAUCGUUAUCUAACAGCUUAAGCUUUUAGAGUACAACGGUUGUUUCACAUGGUAUCAAAGCAGGAGGUUCUGAGUUCGAGUCACGCCAGGCUCUUAGCAUAUUAAUUUCCUCCCAUUUAAUUCAAACCCACGUCAUGGGCCGACUAAAAAGUCUCAAGCCCAGACGUGAGGGAGAGUGUUAAAUAUAAAAUUAUAUAAACACCGUUCUCUAACAGCUUAAGCUUUUAGAGUACAACGGUUGUUUCACAUGAUAUCAGAGUAGGAGGUCCUGAGUUCGAGUCACGCCAGGCUCCUAACAUAUUAAUUUUCUUCCAUUUAAUUCAAGCCCACGUCAUGGGCCGAUUAAAAAAGUCUCGAGCCCAGACGUGGCUUUUAGAGUACAACGGUUGUUUCACAAGCAUGCCCCCUACGUUUCUAUUAAAUUAGGGUUUUGGGAUCGAGAACGAACUUAGUAAGCUAAUGCUUGUGCUUAAGGCUAUUUAAAACCUAAAAAUAACAUAUGCUACGCUCGGAAGGAGAUUUAGUAUUUCUUUUUCUAAAUUUGCUUAAGUUGCCACAUUUUAUGAUCACUUCCAAAUUAAGAUUGUAAAAUGUGUUAGAGUAAUAUUAUUCUUCCGAACAAAAUAGAAUGCGCAGAGAUUAAAUAGAAGAGUUGUAUAUAACACUAAGUUGUUGUUCAUAUGUUUCUUCUUAAUUUAGAAGACUAUAAAUUUUAAAAAUAGUAGAAAUAUUUUUAUUUGUUAUAUUAUACUAUAUAUUAUUUUACAUCAGUUCAAGCACUCUAUUAAUAAAUUGUGAAGUUUAAAAUAAAAAUUCAAAUUAUUUGUAACUCAUCACUCAUAGUAGUGGAUGAUUUAAAAUGGCCAAAUUAUAUAUGCGCUGAAGCAAAAACCAAUCUCAAAGAUGCUGUUUGUUAGAUAUAGAAAGUAAAAAAAAAAAAAAUCACAGGGAGAAUUUUAAUUUAUUUUUAAUUUCUUAAUUCUUCUUUUUAUUCAUCAAACUCCAUUCCCCCUUGUUGUUUCUCCAAAUCCUUGAAGAGGAACUGUUGAAACGCGGCGUGCGACGAGCCCCCCACGUCGAGCGCCGCCGCGGCCUUGUCCUUGAGCUCGGCGGCGCGCGCCCGGAGCCUCUGGCCGUCCUCGGUCUCCAUCACGAGCCUGACCUUCCUCUCCACCUCGUCGGCUGCGACGAGCACCUGAUCGUACCCGUCCACGGCGACCCCGACGCGGAUUUCGUCGACGAGGAACACCUUGUUCAUCCGCUGCUCCGCGUAGAGGGGCCCGGCUCGAGCGCCUCGAACGUGUUGACGAGGAUGCCCCGGGAGUCGGGGAGGCGCCCGAAGUUGCGGACGAGGGCCCGGUAGGCGUCGGUGUCGCGGUCGGACAGCGCCGGGUGCAUGUCGCCGGCGGGGAUGGGCCUCACGCCCGGGAAGUGGACGGGGGCUCGGCCCAGGUCCUUGAAGCUGGCGGCGCCGGCGCGGUCGUGGUCGUGGGGGAGGUGGAGGAACACGGCGAGGAUGGCGGCGCCGGAGGAGAAGAAGAAGUAGGCGGGGAGGGCGAGCUCGGCGGCGACGUCGAGGGCGUCGAUGCAGAAGAAGUCGAGGACGAGGGCGCGGGGCGGAGGGGAGAGGGAGCGGAGGAGGGAGAGGAGCGCGGGGUUGUUGAGGCGGAGCACGUCGAACCUCUGGGCGACGGGGUUGCCGCCCGCGGGGGGAGGGACGCGGGGGAGGAGGUGGAAGGAGAUCGAGGAGGCCCGGUGGGAGGAGGAGAGGCGCGAGAUCACGGGCUCCAAGGAUGGGGCCCCGGGGAAGGGGGACUCCACCGCGACCACGGCCACGGAGGCGAAGCCGCGGCGGACGAAGAGCUCCGCGAGCUCCACCAUGGGCGUGAGGUGCCCCACCCCCAUGCCCGAAUACAGCACCACCGUCUCCUUCAUAAUCGCCUCCCCUACCAAUUAAGCUACCUACCUACCUCCAAGCGCGCUGCUUCUAAAUUCUAAUUCAGGGGCGCACCACCACUGUUUAAUCAUCAAUGGCGAUCGAAUAGAACAGAAUACUCUAUUAUUACUGCUUGUUUGCUUCGUCCUGGCCUGAGCGGAAAGAUGUGGGAGAUGAGGAGUGUUUAUGUAUAGGACUAGGAUAAAAUAAAUUAAAUUAAUCCCGCAAAUUAUUAUUAUUAUUAUUAUUAUUAUUAUAUAUAUAUAUAUAUAUAUAUAUAUAUAUAUAUAUAGAUAGAGAGAGAGAGAGAGAGAGAGAGAGAGAGAGUUAGGCUGGUAUACUAUCGGUAGCACGGAAGCCUCCGUACUACCAAGUUGUUUUCAAUGUUGCGGCUUCCGAAUUGACGAUCGGCUCUCGUUAAACUUGAUCUACACUAUUAAAAGUAUUGAAAACUAAAUUUCAUAACUUUUCGGCAUCAUUUACUUAUCAAACGAGUAGUCUAAAAAAUGAACCGCUGAAAAUAAAAAUCUCAUAAAAAAUAAUGAUAAAAAUACUUGAAUUUAAGAUCGGAGGUAUUGAUCUUACUCUAAAUAAGUGAAAAGAAUUUUCUAUAAAAAUUUCAUCAGAUUUGGAGUGUUUUAUACCGUGAAAUUCACAAACGCAUCACAUCUACCAUUAAAAUUGUCAAUUUUGAGACCUUUUGAUCACUAGCCAAAUAAUGCGGAAAAAUUAUGAAAUUUAGUUUUCAAAUACUUUUAAUAGUGUAAAUCAAGUCUAACGGAGCCGAUUGUCAAUUUGGAAGCCGCAUCAUUGAAAACAACUUAGUAGCACGGAGACCUCCGUGGUACCGAUAGUAUACCAGCCUAGCUCUAUAUAUAUAUAUAUAUAUAUAUAUAUAUAUAUUAUAUUCUGAGAUUCAGGAAUUUUGAGACGCGCGUACGCGUGCUACUCGUCCUUUGCGUGCUUCAUCUUCACCUCUAAUCCGCCUUGUGGAAUGCGUACGUGGACCGGCAUUAAUUAACACCGAAGAGAACAUUAUACAAGUUUUUUGUUUUUCUUUUUAUAUGUAUUUUAUUUAUGUGUUACGACACAUAUAAGGUGCAGGUUUUUGACUAGUUCAUCCGCUUUAUUAGAAGUGAAUUAUAUUUAUAUAUAUACACAUUAACUAAUGUAUCACAAGAUGCAUGAUCUCGGGAUAUAUAUAUNNNNNNNNNNNNNNNNNNNNNNNNNNNNNNNNNNNNNNNNNNNNNNNNNNNNNNNNNNNNNNNNNNNNNNNNNNNNNNNNNNNNNNNNNNNNNNNNNNNNNNNNNNNNNNNNNNNNNNNNNNNNNNNNNNNNNNNNNNNNNNNNNNNNNNNNNNNNNNNNNNNNNNNNNNNNNNNNNNNNNNNNNNNNNNNNNNNNNNNNNNNNNNNNNNNNNNNNNNNNNNNNNNNNNNNNNNNNNNNNNNNNNNNNNNNNNNNNNNNNNNNNNNNNNNNNNNNNNNNNNNNNNNNNNNNNNNNNNNNNNNNNNNNNNNNNNNNNNNNNNNNNNNNNNNNNNNNNNNNNNNNNNNNNNNNNNNNNNNNNNNNNNNNNNNNNNNNNNNNNNNNNNNNNNNNNNNNNNNNNNNNNNNNNNNNNNNNNNNNNNNNNNNNNNNNNNNNNNNNNNNNNNNNNNNNNNNNNNNNNNNNNNNNNNNNNNNNNNNNNNNNNNNNNNNNNNNNNNNNNNNNNNNNNNNNNNNNNNNNNNNNNNNNNNNNNNNNNNNNNNNNNNNNNNNNNNNNNNNNNNNNNNNNNNNNNNNNNNNNNNNNNNNNNNNNNNNNNNNNNNNNNNNNNNNNNNNNNNNNNNNNNNNNNNNNNNNNNNNNNNNNNNNNNNNNNNNNNNNNNNNNNNNNNNNNNNNNNNNNNNNNNNNNNNNNNNNNNNNNNNNNNNNNNNNNNNNNNNNNNNNNNNNNNNNNNNNNNNNNNNNNNNAUAUAUAUAUAUGUAAUGUUAUGUAUGAUAUAUAUAUAUAGUAUUAUAUAGUUAUGUUAUUAUGUAUAUAUAGUAUAUAUUUAUAUAUAUAGUAUAUGUAUGUAUGUAUGUAUAUAUAUAUAUAUAUUAUAUAUAUAUGUGUAUGUAUAUAAUGAUAAUAUAUAAUUAUGUAUAUGUAUCUAUAUUAAUGUAUGUAUGUAUAUAUAUAUCAUAUAUAUAAUAUAUAUACUAUAUAUAUAUAUGUAUGUUAUAUAUAUACAUAUAUAAGAGCAGGUUGCUGUGCUCUUAGGAGCACGGAGGCCUCCGUGCUUCUGAGCCGUUUUCGAUGAUGGAAUUUUCGAAUCGACGAUCGGCUCCGUUAGACUUGAUCUAGCGCAUUUGAAGUUUCUAGAAAAUAUUUUUGCGAUUUUUCGAUAUCAUUUACCUAUGUGAUCGAAAGAAUCAACAUCUAUAAUUUUUAAUGGUUGAUAUCUUGCCGUUUUCAGUUUAACGGUGUAGAAGUAUUCAAAUCAGAUGAAAUUUUGAUAGAAAAUUCUUUAUACUAUGUUCAACAAGAUUAUAUUUCUGAUCGAAAAUUUUAAGUGCUAUAUCACCACUUUUUAUAUGAUUUUUAUUUUUCAGUCGUUAAAAAUUAUUGAUUUUGAAUCCUUUCGAUUGCUAGUAAAUGAUACGAAAAAAUCGCAAAAAUUAUUUUCUAGAAACUUUAAAUACGCUAGAUCAAUUAACGAGCGAUCGUCGAUUCGAAAACUCCAUCAUCGAAAACGGCUCAAGAGCACGGAGGCCUCCGUGUCCUGAGAGCACAGCAGCCUGCUCCAUAUAUAUAUAUACAUAUAUAUAUAUAUAUAUGUAUAUAUGUACAUAUAUCUAUAUAUGUACAUAUAUAACAUAAUAAUGUAUAUAUGUAUGUAUGUAAUGUACAUAUAUAUAUAUAUAUAUAUAUAUAUAUAUAUAAUAUUAUAUAAUAGUACAUAUAUAUAUAUAUAGUAGUAUGUACAUAUAUAUAUAUAUAUACAUACAUACAUAUAUAUAGAUAUAUAUUAUCAUACAUAUAUAUACGUACAUAUAUAUUAUAUAUAUACAUAUAUAUGUAUAUACUGUAAUAUAUACAUUAUAUAUAUAAUAGGAGUUCUGGCUAUUUGUGCUUGUAAAAGUAACAGAGCACAUUGGUGCUUGUAAAUUUUUUAUCGUUAGAUCUAAUACCUUUGAUCAUUUUUACCCGUUAGAUUAUACUAUUCAACCAACCACCCACUCAACCCUAGGGGCCCACAUCAACCUAACCGCACAUCCUUUAAUUAAGGCCGAAAACUACAAAUAAAUGGUGUUGCAGAGCGAAGGAACCGUACUCUAUUAGACAUGGUUAGGUCGAUGAUGGCGCAAGCGCAACUUCCUAUAAAUUUUUGGGGAGAUGCGCUUUUGACUGCAGCCUACAUCCUUAAUCGAGUCCCUAGCAAAUCAGUGCCUACUACCCCAUAUGAGUUAUGGAGCGGUAGAAAGCCAAGUUUACACUACUUACGCCCUUGGGGAUCAGCUGGAUAUGUUCACAGCCCCUCACGUAAAUUCGAGAAACUCGGCCCUAAAGCGAGCAAGCAUGUGUUCAUCAGAUACCCUGAAAAUUCGAAGGGUUAUGUGAUGUAUGGUGAACACCCAGAUGGUGGUAUGACCGAGAUUGAGUCUCGUGAUGUGGAAUUCCUAGAAAGGGAUUUUCCAAGCAUUGGUGAAAUGCGAAGUGACGUCGGAUUGUAUGAGUUACAGGACGACGCUACCCUAUCUGCGGUUGAGGGUGAUCAAUCACUUCCCGAAGUCGCUGAAGGAAGUGGUAGUGAUCCUCCGGCUAGUGGGAGUGCUUCGUUAAAUGAGAGCAUACCCUUGGAAGUCGGCAAUUCGGACCCUCCAUUGCGUAGAAGUGAACGUGGACAUAUUCCCCGUCGACAUUUUGAGAUCGAAGGGGAUAUUUUCAUGUGUACUCCGCUCGAUGACGAUGAACCUUCUUCUUAUAAAGAAGCCCUGCAGAUGUCAGCUUGCAGUGAGUGGAUGACUGCUAUGAAAGAUGAGAUGGACUCCAUGAGCAAGAACCAAGUAUGGGAAUUGGUUGACCUUCCGCCUGGGCGCAAGUCUAUUGGAAAUAAAUGGGUUUUAAAAAUUAAGCGCAAGGCGGAUGGAUCAAUCGAUAAAUACAAGGCUCGGCUCGUGGCUAAGGGCUACACUCAGAGGCAAGGGGUAGAUUACAACGAGACGUUUGCUCCCGUUGUGAGAUUUACCUCCAUUCGUUUGAUUCUAGCCUUAGUGGCACACCUAGAUUUGGAAUUGUUCCAAAUGGAUGUCAAAACAGCUUUUCUCAACGGAGAAUUAGCAGAGGAGAUCUAUAUGGAUCAACCUGAGGGUUUUGUACUCAAAGGUCAAGAAGACAAAGUUUGUCGUCUUAAAAGAUCCAUUUAUGGUCUCAAGCAGUCGUCGAGACAGUGGUAUUUCAGGUUUCAUGAAGCCAUCACCUCUAUCGGUAUGUCCAUGAUAGAGGAGGACCACUGUGUAUACAUCAAGAAAACAGAGAAUGGGAUUUUAUUUCUCUCUCUAUACGUCGAUGACAUAUUAUUGGCUGGAAAUGACAUGGAGUUAAUCAAUACCACUAAGGAGUGGUUGUCUCUCAACUUUGAAAUGAAAGACAUGGGUGAGGCGAGCUAUGUGCUCGGAGUAAAGGUCAUCCGUGAUCGCUCUAGAAGGCUUCUUGGUUUGUCUCAAGAAUCUUAUAUUAAAAAGGUUCUAGAGCGUUUUAGGAUGCAUCAUUGUAAACCCGUUGAUACUCCAGUGGAGAAGAAUCAAACUCUGAGUCUUGAUCAGUGCCCUAAAACGGAUAAAGAGAAGGAACAAAUGAGUAGAGUUCCUUAUGCGAGUGCAAUUGGCAGUUUGAUGUACGCUAUGAUGUGUACUCGACCUGACAUUUGCUUCGCUGUUAGCUUGGUAAGUCGUUACCAGAGCAACCCAGGACCUAUUCAUUGGCAAGCGGUUAAGAGAAUCCUUCGAUAUUUAAAAGGAACCAGUGAUCUCGUUCUCUGUUUUCAAGGAGGGGACUUGAGAUUGAAAGGAUAUAGUGAUGCUGAUUGGGGCGGUGAUAGAGAUGAGCGCAGGUCCACCUCAGGCUAUGUGUUUAUGCUUGGAGGUGGGGCAAUUUCCUGGUGCAGUAAGAAGCAGAGCUGCAUUGCCUUAUCAACCAUGGAAGCGGAAUACGUUGCUUGUUCAGCGGCCGUACAGGAGGCAGUUUGGCUGAGGAGAUUUCUCCAGCACCUCGACAUCGUGACUCGAGCAAAUGAACCUGUUGAGAUGUUCUCUGACAGCAUGGCUGCCCUGGCGUAUGUGAAGGAUCCCAAGUAUCAUGGCAGGACCAAGCAUAUUGAUAUCCGAUUUCACUACAUUCGAGAUAUGAUUAAGCUAGGCGAGGUCGUUCUUAAACAUAUUUCCACCACUAGGAUGGUGGCUGAUCCGUUGACCAAGCCGAUAGCUAGGGAUGUGUUCCAGACCCACGUUGGGAGUUUGGGUCUUCGUAGGUUUUGAUUUAUGGACAUUAUUUUGUAUUUUACGCUUUAUUAAUGAAAAUGUGUUUUUUCUUUUAAUGUGAUUGCGUAAUUGAUACUAGUAGGCACAUAUUCGUUAAGUCACCGGGCUCAGAUCAGCCCACUCACACGGGUGAUCGCCCUGGCACCUAGGUGGUGAGCAGGAUGAGACUAAAUAAUCAUAUUGAACUUGAGUAGUUGUAAUAUGAUUGCUUUGUUCAUAUACGUUAUGAAUAAAGUGUUAACGUAAUUUAAAAGUCGCCUUAAUUAGUUUAAGAUGAGACUCUCAAGAGUCAGAUAUGAAUUUUUGGUGAAAUUUCAUAUCGAGCCUGUAUAGUAGCCGAACCUAAGUGCUCAGGUUAGAGAGAUGACUUGAGUUGUGGUGGUUAGAUACCUUAGUGGUACCUAGACCAAGGUUCGUAUGGCGUUCUUUCAGAGCGUGACAUGUCCCAUUGAGUGGGAGCUCCGCCAUAGCAUACAUAUCAUACUGUAUGUGCUUGUCGACCAGUUAGUAGAGUGACAUAAGCUCUUCCCUCCAUGUCACUGUGUGAGCACUAACCCUUUUGUGCCCUCGACUUAGAACUACGUUAUGAAGUGGAGGUCAAAAGUAACUAACUUAGCGUGUAUCUCAGGGUCAUGAGAAAAUACGAUCUCGCGGAGCACGUCUAGUAAAGUGCUUGGACCAAUAUGGAUUAACGUGAGGGGCUGAGGAAGAUGUUUCGAUAACACACCACGUAAGUCUUGUGACUCAUUGCCCGGGCGGUUAUCUCGGUUGUGUUACUUGAGAUAAUCAUGAGUACGAGAAAUAACGGUGGGGUCGAGCCCUGUCAUUACAGGAGAGGGACUUUGUGAUGCUUGAUCCGGUGUGUGUUGAAACGUCUAGGGCAUAGACGAAUUAAGUCAGUGAUGUGCUAUAUUAGUUGGAUGGUGACUUAAUUUAGCACUCCUGCAUGUGGUUCUUUUCGUCAGGUUGCACGCUCUAUUACCCGUAUGAAGAGACGAAUAAGUGAGAGAGAGUUGGCCAAUGUGGCCAAGUGGGAGAUUGUUGCCAUAUGGUGUGUCCACAUUGGCGGGUUAUGAUUUGACCCGAUCCACAUAAGUUAUGGAUCAUGAUUCAUCCUAACAAGUUUAGGAUAAGUAUAAAUUAUAUGUUUCUUAUCAGUUAAGAAACAUAUCUUAUAAUGGAUAUUUAUUAUAUGUUAAUAAAUAUCCCAAUCCUUAUCCUAAUCUAUAGGAGAUUCAGGAUAUUUAGGGGUUCCGUUAUUUUUAUAUAUACGCCCCCGUUUUCUCCCGUAGAAGAGACGAUCGAAUACGAUCUAAUUCGAGAAUCCACAAAAUCUUUCUUCUUCUCUCUUCUCUUCCUCUCUGGGAUUUCCACCUACGUUCCCGGGGUUUUAGGGUGUGGACAUAGGAGAGGACUCUGGUAGCCCUCUCCGAUUGGCAUCCGUGACGUAAGGCGAUCCGUUCCGUGACGUAAGGCGUACGCGUGGAAGAAGACGAGAAACGUGGGAGAUCCAGAAGCAUCGAGACAAGGACGAUCCAAGAAGGCUUGUAGAACGAGCAAUCCGAUCCGAUUCCGGUUCCCGGAUACGUUGGCUAUCCGGUUUGUAAGUUUUCGUUGCCUAUUAUUUCCAACAGUUAAUAUAAUCUGAAGUUAAUAGUACAAAUGAACGGCGUCCCCUCCAAAGUUAAACGCGAAUAAUAGUUCAAGACAGUGUUAAUAAAAGAACAAUAGUUUAUAAAAGAGUGCAAUGAAACUUGUAAGAGUGCAAUACGGUGGUCGAACGGUUCAGCGUGUAAAAACGGGAGGCUUCUCUCGAGCUCUCUAAUAUCUUUUCUGCAUACGGCGUUAAAACACUGAUAAUCUUCUCCCCAGCAUUUUUCCUCCGGUAAAAAUAAUACGCUGUUUUCUUUCGUGUUUCCUCGACAAGGUAGGUAAUUGGAAAGCUCUUUAAAUGUCAAAUAACACUAUUUAUCGUCUCGGCAUAGUUGGAAGUGAGCAUUGAAUAACGCCUUCCAAAGAAGCAAUGGAUAGCCCACCUAUGCCGAGGAAGUUUGACCACAUACUUGAACUGUUCCGGGUUCAAAUCCUUCAUCUUCUCCAUGUGUUCGUUAAACUCCGCGAUAGUGUAUGCACGCGUCGCCACCCAAAAUCUUCUCCACGCAGGUGUAUUUUGUGGUGCGUGCGGGAGAUUGGUAGACAAAUGGUACAUGCAAUAACUAUGAGCUGCAUCAGGAAAAAUAUUGAAUACAGCUUCAAUCCAACCUUUUUGUCGGUCGGAAAUAAUAGUAAGUAUACCGUUUCCUCUGCUCAUGUCGCGAUCACCGACGAUACCAUCCCGCAACUAUUCCAGAAAUCAGUGCCAGGAAUAGCGAUUUUCACCUUCCAAAACUGCCCAUACUAAUGGCAGUAUGCAGUUAUUUCCAUCAAUACAUGACGCCGUCAGCAUAGCACCUCUAAACUUACCAGUUAGGAAAGUAUCUGAAAGAAUUACAAAGCGUGUAAAUUAGUGCGUAAUCGUGCAAAAUAUUGUAUUUCGCAUCAUUAUAAUAUACAAUAGUGCAAUACAGUUAUAUAAUGGUGUGAACGUCGCUUAUUAGUGUAAAAACGUGACAUCCAGUCCAAACAACGGCCUGCAGUGCUUCCGGAAUGCACGAAUCGAUGCACCAAAUGCGCAGAAAAAACGGUGGAAACGAUCCUUGUUCUGGUAAAAUAGCUGAAGACAUGCAUCCGCAUCUCCAUUCCUCAGCUCUCGUAUGUACGACGAAAGUGCAGCGAAAUACUGUCAAUGUAAGCUAAUCCAUGCUUAUGGACUUUAAUUUUAUGUGGUAGAUUCUUUUUGAGGAAAAAAAGUAGGCUUUUUUUAUGCAGGAAAGAAAAAAACUUUUCUCUCGCCAUCUCAGCUAAUAGGUCUUGAGUGGUACCAGACGCACUCUAUAUAUAUAUAUAGACUGCGUCUGGUAUGCUUUUGGAAGCACGGAGCGCUCCGUGCUUUCAAGUUGUUUUCGAUGUUCGGACUUUCGAAUCGACGAUCGGCUCCAUUAGAGUUGAUCUAGAGUAUUUGAAGUACCUAGAAAAUAAAUUUUGUGAUUUUUCGAUAUCAUUUGCCUAGUGAUCGAAGGGGCUCAAAAUCAAUAAUUUUAACGGCCGUGGUGAGGCCCUUGCCAGUUUAACGGUAUAGAAAAUCCAAAUCAAUGAAAUUUUGAUAGAAAAUUCUUUAUACUAUAAAACAAGAUCAAUAACUUUGAUCUAAAAUUUUAAAUGUCAUAUCAUCAUAUUUUGUAAGAUUUUAUUUUCAGCCGUGAUUUUGAGCCACUUCGAUCACUAGGCAAAUGAUAUCGAAAAAUCAUAAAUUUAAUUUUCUAGAUACUUCAAAUACUGUAGAUACUCUAUACGGAACCGAUCGUCGAUUUGAAAGUCCGAACAUCGAAAACAACUUGGAAGCACGGAAGCGCUCUGUGCUUCCAGAAGCGUACCAAUGCGCUAUAUUAAUAUAUAUAUAUAUAUAUAGAGAGAGAGAGAGAGAGAGAGAGAGAGAGAGAGAGAGAGGAGAGAGAGAAGAGAGAGUUUUGCUAGGACUACUAUCAGUAGUAAACGAGCCGUUUUUACUACCUAUUUGUUUCGAUGAUAGAGCUUCAAAUUGACGAUCGGCUCCGUUGAACCAUGAUCUAUACCACUUGAAAUGUUUAGAAAUCAAAUUUCAAUCUUUUCGAAUCAUUUGCCUAAUGAUUAAAGGGUUCAAAAUUUGUAUUUUAAUGGUCAAUUAGAGGCGUUUUCUCGUUUAACGCGUAAAGAUAUCCAAAUCAAUUGAAUUUUUGUUAGAAAUUUUUUAAACUAUUUAAAACAAGAUCUAUACUCUUGAUCUUGAUUAUAAGACUCCUAUUCAUCAUUUUUUAAAGAAUUUCAUUUUCAGCCAUUCAUUUUUUCUGUUCACUUGAUGGAUAAAAGAACAAUAUCGAAAGUGCGUGAAAUUUGAUUUCUAGGUAGUUUAAAAUGGUUAGAUAUAUUUCACGGAGGCGAUCGUUAAUUUGGAAGCUCUAUUAUUGAAGAACAAAUAGGUAGUAAAACGGGCUCGUUUACUACUGAUAGUAUUAUAGCUCAACUUAUAUAUAUAUAUAUAUAUAUAGAGAGAGAGAGAGAGAGAGAGAGAGAAGAGAGAGAGAGAGAGAGAGUGAGGCUACUAUGCUAUGAAGACGGAGCCUUCCGUGCUUCACACCUCGUUUUCGAUGUUGCGAUUUUCAAAUCGUCGAUCGGCUCCGUUAAUACUUGAUCUAGAUAUUUGAAGUAGGCUAAAAAAAAUUUUAUGAUUUUAACGGAUAUCAUUUGCCUAGUGAACGAAUGGGCUCAAAAUCAACGGCUGAAAAUAAAAAUCUUACAAAAUGUAAUAAUAUGACAUUAAAAUUUUAAAUCAAAGAUAUUGAUCUUGUUUUAUAUAGUAUAAAGAAUUUUCUAUCAAAAUUUCACUUGAUUUGGAUAUUUCUACACCGUUAAACUUGCAAACGGCUCACUACGGCCAUUGAAAUUUGUUGAUUUUGAGCUCAUUCGAUCACUAGGCAAAUGAUAUCGAAAAAUAAUAAAAUUUAUUUUCUAGGUGCUCCAAAUACUCUAGAUCAAGUUUAACGGAGCCGAUCGACGAUUCGAAAGUCGCAACAUCGAAAAUGAAGUGGAAGCACGGAAGGCUCCGUGCUUCCGAUAGCAUAGUAGCCUCACUCUAUAUAUAUAUAUAUAUAGCUGAGCAGUAUAUAGGUUGCAAAAUUUUUUUUAAAAAAAUAAGUAUUUUCAAUUUUUUAUAUUUUUCUGGUGAUCAAUAAAUAUCUCCGGCAUAUGUUAUUAGAAUUGCGAGCAAUUCAGUAUUACUAGGGAAAAAAAAAAGAAAAAGAAAAUUAGUUUAAUUUUUCGCUUUAUUUGAGUUUUAAUUGUGUGUGUGUAUAUACAUAUGUAUAGAUGGAAGAGGUAGAGGAUGCAAUAGAGAAGGGGAAAGAGGAGAAGCAGAAGAAGAGUGAGGAGGUGGAAAAGAGGGUGAAUUCCAACAUCAAGAGCUCUCAAAAUUCUAAGUAAUUAUUAGUUACAUUAAUUAUGAUGUACCUGUACUCACAACUAUAAUUAAAAAUAAUAUUAUCUAAUAUGCACUUCCAAUUUUAAAAAUAUUUUAUUUAUUCUUGAAGGAUCAGAAUAUUUUUGUUGAUUUUAAAUUUUCCUUCAAAUAUCCCCUUUUUUUUGAAUGUUUAUUAAUGAAUUGGGAUUUUAGAAGGGUAUUUUAGUGAAAGAUAAAUUUGAAAAUUUGAAUAGUAAUCAAGGAUAAAUAAACAAAACUCUUUUUUUUUUUAUUAGUCUUAGCAUUUUUUUCUUGGUAGGUAUACUCUAUUUUUACUUUGUCAUGGAUUGGUUUAAAAAAUUUCGCUUAAAAGAAGUUUUACUUUAACUAUGCUAUGCUUUUAUUUUUGUUUCACUGAUUUGUUGUGUCCAAUAGGAGAGUAAAGUGAAAUUUGUAGAAUCAUAAGGUAAUACCUUUGUUAACAAUUAAUACAGGGAUCUUUAUAGCGAAAUAAAAAUAAAAUGAGUAGUUUAGUAUAAAUUUUUGAAUUAUGGCUACUUUAAACUACAUAGUUGUCACGUGUAAUUUUUUUUGAACUAUAGAAUCAUAAAGUGAAAAUGUGACGCACCAUGAGGGGGCAAAUUGAAGUGUAUCUUUUUUUUUUAAUGGUUUCUUUUUUAUUGUAUGUAGAGGCCUCAUUUGAUAUCAUUGUUUUUACCUUUAAAUGCUAAUUUAUAUAUAUAAAUUUAUACGCUGGCAGCAAUUUUAUUUUAUUUUAUUUUAUUUAUAUCCAGAUUUAACUAAUGUGUGCAAUUUAUUUAAAAAAUUUUUGGAACUAAAGAAAAUUACUUCUAAAUUUUUAUUUUCUUGCUGCCAAAUUAAUAUCUUGAAUAUAAUCUUUCCACCAUUCUUUUAUACGUUAUUUUAUGUAAAAAUUUUGUUUGAAAAAUAUGGCAAUAAACAAUAUUAAAUGAGGCAUCAAGAGUGUGAUUUUGGCUCUUCAUUUGAAUUUUAUUUUAUUUUUUCUUUCCAUAAGUUCGAGGUGAGGUUUGAACUCAGAAUUUUUUGCUUUGAUAUUAGAUGGAAAAAUAUCAAAUAAUUAUUUACUUUUAAAAUUUUAAAUUUUUAUAAAACAGUAAUUUAAUACUGUAUAUUAUAUUUGAUACAAAUCAAUGAAAAUUUUCUAGAUGGGAUGCAAAUUCGACUGUAUCAGACGUUCUACCAUUGUCAAUCUAUUUUUAAGAAAUUGAGAUUAGUGCGAAAAUAUAUAAAAUGUGAUGAGUACAUAAUUAUUUGUGUAGAUACUACUGAAUCUGUGUACUCUCAUACGUACUCAGCUAUACAAAAAUGUGCAUCUGCACGCAUAGUAAUUUUGUUAUGUGCAUGCACAAUUACGUAUACGUAAAUUAAAAGAUAAACUUCAAAUAUUACCUCAAAUUUCGCACUUUUUUAUUUUAAUAUUAUGUGGUUUAAAGUGUAUUAAUUUAGUAUUCUGUGAUUUUUUUUUUCGCCUGUCUUUUUGUUAAUUUUUCGUUAAAUUAUAUACAAAAUACUUCAGAUACCUCGCCUAUAUUUUAUCGAAUAUUCACUUUAGUACUCUUUAGUUUUAACUUUGUCACUCAUUUAACGGAAAAAAAAAUAAUAAAGGGGAUAACAAAAAGAGAGAAAUAAAACCACAGAGUAUGAAAGUGAUAUACUUUAAAUCAUAGGGUACUAAAGUGAGAAAGUGCAAAACCAUAGGGGUGGUAUUUGAAAUUUUAUCUAAAUUAAAAGAUUCAGAUCGAUGAAGAUGAAUACUGUGAAAUUCGCAAUAUAAGGAAGAAUAAUGUGGGUCUUUUGAGUAUUUACCUUUGAGACAUGCAAGAAUUGUUGGAUGAUGCGGGGAGUUUUCUGCUAAAGUUUUGGAAUUUGGGAGGCAAACUUUCCUAGUUUUGGGUUGUGGGCUGAUCUCGGAUAGAAUUUAGGUAUAUUCUUAUCAUACAUCUUUUUUUUGCUGUCGCGCCUCCUCCCUUGCCCCCGCUGCCUCUGCCUCCUUCCGAUGCGUUCUUCCGUCAUCCUUAAAUCUUUUAGUAUUCUUGUUGUUGUCGCCAUCCACAACCAUGCGUUCCCCCGUAAGCUUGCUUUCGCGAUCUAUACUACAUUCGAGCUGCAAUCUAUGGAAGCAAAAUUAAUAUGAAGAGUGUUGUUGGGAAGUUCUUCAUUGAAGCUCUAGAAUUUGGGAGGUGAACUUUCCUAUUUCAGUGUAUCCCAGUCCAAAGUUGGAUUUUGGGUACCAAAUCCCAGCCCAACUAAGAUCCGGCCCGAUAGGCCAUAUUUUGGAAAAUAAUUUAUUGUAAAAGUUGUACCUACAUGUGACAUAUAUAUUUUAAAUUAAUCUUAUUAAGUUACUAAACAGGGGCCAGAAUUUAGAUUUAGGGAUAGGCCGAAAAUGUGGAAUACAUUUAUCUUAAAAUAUAAUGUUAUAAAUUAUAAUAAAAGUUAGAUGCGCGAAAAUACAAAAAAAAAAAAAAAAAAAGAAUUUGAGAAGUUUCUUUGUCGGCUCAAAAGUCAAAAUAAUACUGGGAACUCUUUUGAAUCGUGAAAUUUGUUGACCAUUGAAUCAAUAAAUUUAUGGGCAAUUUCUUUUUCGAUAUGCACGAUUAUAGAGAUUUUUUCGGCUCACAAGUUUUAUAAGAAAAAAUUUUUAUUUUGGCCCCUCUGGAGACUAGAAUUUAUAAUAUUUUGACUACAAUUUAUAAUAUUUUAAAGUUUAUUAUGUCUAAUUAAUUAGGGAUUCAUAUUAUAAUUUUCAAACAUAUGAGGGUCGUGGCCAUUGUGGGCCUCAAUAUGGCUCCCUGGCCUAUAUAGCAUGGAUAAAAAAAACUUAAAGUAAAAUAGUAAGCUAAUAAUGAAAUAAGAGUCUGAUUUACUAUACUUCUAUGACUAUAGAUUUUUUUGUAUUUAUAAAUUUUCAGUCGUUAGAUUUAUUUUUUUGAUCAUUUUUACCCGUUUUAUAUAUAUAUAUAUAUAAGUCUGGCUGCUAUGCUAUCGAUAGCACCAAGCACUUGGUGCUAUCAAGUUUUCUGCCGUUAGAUUAACUCCUUUAAUUAUUUUUACCCGUUAGAUUAUACUAUUAAACCAACCACCCACUCAACCCUAGGGGGGCCCACAUCAUCCUAACCGCACAUCUUUUAAUCCAAGGGCGGAAACUUAAUAGCACCAAGUCAUUGGUGCUAUUAAUAGUAUUCUAACCUAGUUCUAUAUACUAGUGUAGUGACCCGCACGAUGCAGCGAAAAAAAAUAUUUUAAUAAAAAUUUACAAAUUAAAUAAAUAAAUAUGAAUAUAAAGAAGAAAAAAAAUAUAACUAUAUUUGAUUAGACUUAAUAAUAUAAAAAAUACAUUAAAAAAUAUUUAAAAUGGAAUCACAACUCAACAAAAAAUAAUAAAAGAAACAGAAAAAAAAAGAUAAGAAUUAUAUGAGAAGAAAAAUUAUUACAUAGAUAUUAUAAAAAAAAUGUUUGAAAUAUUGCAAGUGAAAUAUAAUAAAUAUUAAAGAGCACAUUGAACAGAUUUUAAUUGACAUUUAACAAAUCAAAUAAACAGAUUCAUCCGUCCGAUUCUUUUUUUGACGCAAAUCAAAUUUUUUAAAAAAUCAAUAAUGAAGUAACCCGAGCAUUAUAUAUAUAUACACAUGCGCGACAUCGACGCGAUAUUUUAAUUAUUGUAUCUAUAACCUAUAUGAAUUCCCAAUGUUUGUUGCCACGUGGCAAAUUCUACUUCACUCUCACUAGCAUGUAACUCUUUUUCUUCUCUUCACCAAAUUUUCAAUAUACAUUCUAACGAUCCCACUAAUCAAACCAUCAAUUAGUGUAUUUAAUGGUCCCACUACCAUUUACAAUUGUAUUGUUUCUAUCUACAAUAAUUCAUUAUGACUAUUUUCCUUUCCUCCACUAUAUUUUCAAUUAGUGCAAACGGUUCCACUAUCAAACUUUCAUUUAGUAUAUUUAAAUGGUUCCAUUACCAUCUACAAUCCUAACUUCUCUUCUCUAAUUAUUAAUUAUGAGCAUUUUUCCUUUCCUCCAUCGGACUUUCAACUCUUUAUUUUCAAUUUAUUCAUCAAUUCUCUAUCUCUCAUCUUUUGCUAUACACCAUCGCUUCUUUCCCUCACUCCCUCUUUCUCUCUCACGAAUGCACGCCCACUUUCUUCUUUGGCCGUGGUCGAAGGGAUCAUCGUCGUCGUCACUAUCACUAUCGCCGGAGAAGGCAUCGUCGGCUAUAUCCUCCGCCAACAGUGAGAGACCUUUGUGAAUCUAUCAAGUGAGAUACAUAAGAUAAUGUUUAAAUCUUUUUAUUAUUAAUUACUGUUAGGUUUCUACGCCGCUGCAAAGUGCGGGUCUUUCACUAGUAAUAUACUAUGAUAAUAAUCCAAUAUUAUCAGUGUCACAUUAGUGUCGGCCUUGUAUUUAAAAGGAAAAAUAGAAACCAACAAAUAAAACCAACAAUAAAAAGCCCCUUGAAUAAACUUCUCAGGAAAAAAAAUCCCAUAAUAAUAUUGGAAAAAAUAUUCAAACAUUCAAGAACAAAAAGAAUCAUCUCUCUGAACAAAAGGAAACUUUUCAAAAAGUUAGAACGAAUUAAAACAAACAUAAAAUGUGGCCAAAAAUAAAAUAAAAAACAUCCAAAAAUCUCCUAAGCUCCAAGCGAACAACAAAUUAAAUGUGAAAAACGAAAAAAGAAACUACUGCUAGAAGUAGAGCUAUAAGGAAUUGAACCUUCUAUUCUAUUGCGGUCUCAAUUCAACAGGUGAAAGGUCAAUAAUCCUACAAAAUUUUGUUGAAGUACAUGCAUUCAAUUGUGGUUUUAUUGGGACAUGAGAGGGAGCGGUUUUGGAAGAUGAGGGGUUUUGGAGGUUAGGAGAUGAGAGGGAAUAGUUUUGGUGCAAUUAUAUGCAUUCAAUUGUGGUUUUAUUGGAGAUACGGAGAGAACGGUUUUGAAGAUGAGGGUUUGGAGGUUGGGAGAUGAAAGAGAGCAAUUUUGAAAGAAGGAGUAAUGCCAUGUCAGCAAGAUAUUGGGGAUUCAUAGAUUAGUAUAUAUAUAUAAUAUAUAUAUAUAUAUAUAUAUAUAUAUAUAUAUAUAUAGGAGAGAGAGAGAGAGAGAGAGAGAGAGAGAGAGAGAGAGAGAGAGAGAGAGACCGGCUGGAAUACUAUCGAUAGCACCAAAGCAUUGGUGUAACCAGUUUUCUGCCUUAGAUUUAACCCGUUGACUAUUUUCACGCCGUUAUAUAUAUAUAUAUAUAUAUAUAUAUAUAUAUAUAUAUAUAUAUAUAUAUAUUUUAUUAUAAUAUAUAUAUAUAUAUAUAUAUAGAAUUUGGCUACUAUACUAUCUAUAGUACCGGAGCUUCGGUACUAUAGUCUUGUUUUCGAUCUUCGGAUAUUCAAAUUAACGAUCCACACUAUUAAAUAUGAUCUAGGGUAUAUAAAGUUUUUAGAAAUAAAAUUUUAGUUUUUUUCGACAUCGUUUACUUAGUAAAUAAAUUAUAUCAAAAUGGACAGUGAAAAUUGAAUAAUCUUUAAAAUUUGAGUAUAGGACUUUUAAAUUCAAGAUAAAGAAUGUUAAUCUUAAUCUAGAUAGUUUAAAGUAUUUUCUAUCAAAAUUUAAAAAAAUUUUGAUUCUUCUACACCGUUAAACUCCAAACUCUCUAUAGUAGCCAUUAAAAAUUGAUAAUUUGAAAUGAUUUGAUCAUAAAGUAAACUAUAUCAAAAAAAUAUAAAAUUUCAUUUCUAAAAACUUUAAAUACCCUAUAUUAGUUUUAACGGUGUGGAUCGUUGAUUUGAACAUCCUAAGAUCGAAACGAGACUAUGGUACUGGAGCCCCGGUACUAUAGAUAGUAUUGGAGACUAGCUAUAUAUAUAUAUAUAUAUAUAUAUAUAUAUAUAUAUAUAUAUAUAUAUAUAUAUAUAUAUAUAUAUAUAUAUAUAUUAUACUAUAACUACUGUUGGUAAUACUACUAAUAAGCAACUAAACUAUCACGUACUAUUAGGAUUUUGACCAUUAAAUGAAGAAUGUAAGAUGAGGAUGAUGUGGGCUCUCUGAGAAUUUAAGUGUUAGUGUGAAUAGUAUAGUCUAACGGGUGAAAAUAGUCAAAAAGUUAAACCUAUAACGGUGGAAACUCGGUAGCACAGCUUACGGACUGAUGUUGAACUUUGCUGGUAAUAUAUAUAUAUAUAUAUAUAGUAUAUAUUAUGAGCCGGCUACUAUGCUAUCGAUAGCACCAAGCACUUGGUGCUACAAGUUUUAGCCGUUAGAUUAUCCCUUUGAUUAUUUUUAACCGUCAGAUUCAUCAACUUUCACCACCCAACACCCCACUCAACCCUUAGAGGCCACCAUCAGUUCUAACCCACACAUUUCUCAGAUCUAAUGGCUAAAAAACUAAAAGCACCAAUAGCGUUUGUGCUAUUAAUACGUAUUCCAGCCUAGUUCCUAUAUAUAUAUAUUAUAUAUUAUAUAUAUAUAGAGUCGGCUACGUAUGCUAUUAUAGCACAAGCAUUGGCUGCUACCAAGUUUUCCGCCGUUAGAUCUACCUUUAUCAUUUUCAUCCGUUAGAUCAUACUAUUCAACCAACCACUCACUCAACUCUAGAGGGCCCACAUCAUCCUAACCACACAUUCUUAAUCAAUGCCAAAAAUCUUGGUAGCACCAAUGACUUUUGUGCUAUUAAUAGCAUCAGUAGCAAUUCUAUACUAUAUAUAUAUAUAUAUAUAUGAUAUUAUAUAUUAUAUAGAGAGAGAGAGAGAGCAGAGCAGUAGAGGAGUAAGGGCUAGAAUAUUUGUAAAAGUAUCAAUGGGCGUCAUACUUGUGUGCUUUAGCCCUUGGUGGAGAGAAGUGAGGUUGAAAGAUGAGGGGUAGCUUGGGGUAGGUGGUGGUAGAUGGUGGUAGGGGAAUAGUGUUUAAUCAAGGCUAGUUAAUAAUCAAAAACGUAGAUCCAAUGGCUUAAAGACCUGAAUAGAGCACCAUGAUGUGAUACUUGUUAAAAGUAUCAAUAGCUCACUCUAUAUUAUAUAUUAUAUAUAAUAUUAUAGUCCGGCUGGGAUACUCUAUCAAUAGCACCAUGCAUUUUGUGCCUAUCAAAUUUUCGCCGUUAGAUUUAACACCCGCUUUGACUAUUUUUACCCGUUAGAUCUAUACUAUUUAAACCAACAACAUCACUCAACCUAGGAGGCCACAUUGAUUCUAACCGUAUAUUUUAAUCCAAGACCGAAACCUAAUAGCACCAAAUGCCUUGUGUAUUGAGGUUAGUAUUCCAGCCUAAGAUGUAUUAUAGUAUAUAUAUAUAUAAUACUUAUAUAUAUAUAUACAUUUUCAAAUAUAAUGCCUUGGGUGAAGUAAAGAAUACCCCACGCAAAACAGAAUGCUUGCCAUGCCUUAAUCUUCUAGAAUGCGGCCCGUGCGAGUUAGUUUUCUCAAAUCUACUAAGAUCUUCUAAUUCGUACCGUUCGUAAGACAGAAUAUACACACGUGUCGCAAUCCAAUAGGUUGCGACGGUUUUGGCCGCAAAGGUCAAACUUAGAUGAGAAAAUAAUUAUAAAAAGAAUCGAGCCGUUACCGCCUCACUAGAAUCUUCUUUGUCCACUUUUCGUGCCAAUUGUUUGUUCCACGGUACACGUGUCAAGCUCCCAUAGGCCAAUGGCAAAGUCAAAAAAAAAAAGAAGCCAAAUGAGAACAUGCGCCAGAAUCAGCGGCACGCGCUUUGAGAUUCGGAAUGGGUGUUCGUUGAAUAUUCAGAUCAAGAACACACAUUCAAAAUCAAAAUUGAGAGAAAAAUUGGUUCAAUUUAGGGCGCGGAAUUCGUGAGUUCGUGUAAGGUGAGAUUGUUCAGCGUUUCUACGAACGUAGAUCUCCGUCUCCGGUUUUUCGUGGGGCCCACACGCCCCUCACGCAUGACUAUAGUCUCACAGGACGGCGAGUUUCGUCCAUAUGGCGUUAACUCAAGACUUCGCGUUCAUCACGCGCAAAGUUGAGUUUUGCCGUAUUUCGAUUAAUAUUUAGAAAGUAUAUUGGAUUUGACAGACAUGAUUUAUAAAAAAGAAUAAGCGCUGAGCAUCUAAUUUAAAAAAAUUAUUUUGUUCUCCAAAUGAGCACUUAAAAAGUGGCAAAUUCAAUUCAAAAUAAAAAUUGUAUAUUCAAAUUUAUGAUUUUGACUUGCGAAUUUGAAUAUCAUAGGCCAUGUUCAAUAUGUGUACAGGCUAUAAAUAUAUAUAUAUAUAUAUAUAUAUAUAUAUAUAUAUAUAUAUAUAUAUAUAUAUAGUUAAUUUUAAGAUACAGUACACAGUGCACCAGGUGCAUGCAAGCCUCUGGUUCAUUGAAUGGGGACAAUUCUAGUUCAAAAAAGUACUAGGGGUUAUUUCGCACAACUCUAUAAUGCUCUUAGAUAUAAUAAUGUUUAAUAUAUAAUUAUGAUGCAUUUUAAUGAGCUUCAAAAUUAUUUUUACUAUGUAAUGUUAUAUAUAUUUCUUUUAAAAUAUGAAAAUUUCUUAAAAACAAUUGAUGCAUCCAAUAGCUAAAUACUCCACUAAAAUUAAAAUAUUUACAAGGAUCCAUGAAUUUUAAUAAAGACAUAUACACUCACACAUGCAUGUUACAAGAUUAUAUAAUAAUAAAAUUCAAAUUAAAAAAGAUCCGUUAUAUCGCUGAAAACACGACAUGAUUAAGUUGCAUUUUAAAUAGUAUAGUUUUAAAAAAUAUUUUAAAAUCCGAGUCGAAUUGUUCGGAUGGGUUUGUGAGAACAGUGCCCAAACUGAUUCGGAUCAAAUCUGUAAAAUCGGUCUAUUUUAAAAUACGUGUUAGUUAAUUAACUAGUCCGAUUGUAUAAAAAAUGAUUGGAGUUCUUUUUACUAUGUAUUUCAAUAAUUACUUAGAAAUAUGUAUUAGAUUUUUAACAACAACAUUUUAAAUACAUUUUUAAUUAUAUAUAUAAUAGAAUAAUAUUUACAAAUAAUAUAGUAAUUAACUAAAAAAAAUAUAUCAAUGGGAAGCUUUUCAACGACGUCUUAUUGAAAAACCCUUAAUUUGAGGUCAUAUAUCAGUUUUGUGUUUAUUCAAAAAUUAUAAUUUUUUUCUCCAAAAUUUUAAAAUAUUAUUUUUAAAAUUUAACAUCAAAAAGUAUCUAAUAAAUUGUUAGAUACAGAUAAAAUUAAGAUACUUAGGAUUUAAUAAUAAUAAUAAUAAUAAUAAUAAUAGCAUAAUAUGAAUAACAUUAUAGGGUACAUUUUGGGUACCUGUAACAGCACUCCUUCCCAAUAACUUUCCCAAAACGGCACGUAAUCGAAUCCGUUCUACGUUCACUCGUGACGUAUGUGCACCAGGUUCAUUGAACCUGGACAUAUAUAUAAAUAUACAUACACAGACCCCCGUAUAUAAAACCCAAAACAGGGUGAACUACUUUCUUCCUCUUAUUCCUUUCUCUUUGCAUAACAAUAGUAACACUCUCUCUGAGAACAAACACUAACAAUUUAGCGAAUGUCGGUGGCGACGAUAUCUGCAGAGAUAGUUGAGAUGGAAACGCUCCGUCGGCGGAACGCGGAGCUGGAGAGGGAGGUGAGGGAGGGGCGGGAGCGGGAGGCGUCGGCUCGGCGGGAGCUGGAGCGCUGGGCGGCGCGUCUGCGCGUGGCGGAAGACGCAGAGGAGCGGCUCGCUGUGGAGCUCGGCGAGGCCGAGGCGGAGGCGGUCGAGCAGGCGCGCGAGUACCUCGCGCGCAUCCGGGAGCUCUCCGACCGCCUCGACGCCGCUCGACGCGUCCUCGCCGCCGCCGGAUACGACCUCGCCCUCGCCCCGGCCCUCAAUAUCUAAAUUCAAAUACAAAAAUUAAUAUCUAAUACAUAUGUGAAUCAUUCAGAAUUUUAAAAAUGUUUUAUAUAUUUCUGAAUGAUCAAAUAUUUCUUUUUGACGCUUCUCUGAAUAAUGAAUGGCCUUUCUUUUUUAUAUGAUUUAUGUGGAUGUGUAUAUAUUCGAGUGAUGUUUCUCUAUUCAUGAUAUAUAAAUAUAUAUAUUUUUAUUUUUUUAAAUGGUUUUGUGGCAUGAUGUAUCUAUGUUGGUGUGAAUAGUUUGUACAAAUUUGUCAAUUAAUAUGGCUUUGCAUGUAUGCGAUUUUGAUAGUAUUUUCUUGGCUAAAUUAUUAAGUAAAAAGCCUUUUUGCACCUUAGCUAGUCUGAGUAUUAAUUUCCCUUGUUUAACUAAAAAUUGGUAAUUUUAAUAUCUGGGGGAUGGAACUUAUGUCUAUGGGUUAUAUAUAUAUAUAUAGAGUUGAGCUAUGGUACUUUUACAAGUAUCACCAUCAUGGUGCUAUUAGGUUUUAAGCCAGUGGAUCUACUUUUUAAUUAUUAAUAGCCCUUGAAUUAAACACUAUUCCACCUACCACCACCUAUCACCACCUACCACCAUCAUCUCAACCUCACAUCUCUCUAUCCAAGGACUAAAAACACACAAGUAUCAUCCUCAUGAUACUUUUACAAGUAUUCUAUAUAUAUAUAUAUAUAUAUAUAUAUAUAGAAUUAGGCUGGAAUACUAUUAAUAGUAAAACGCUCUUUUUGCUAUCAAGUUUUUAGCCCUUGGAUGAAAAAUUGUAGGGUCAGUAAACUCACAGAUCCAUAUCUAAAUAGAUGGAUGGUGGAUGGAUGGUGGAGAUUGAAUCUCCUUUUUUUUAAAAAAUCACAGUUAGAUGGCUGUUAGAGUUAACAGACAUCCUCUCUCUCCGCUUUUUUGUCUUUCUUUUCUUUCUUUUUUUCCCUUUUCCUUUUCUUUCAUCUUCCCAGGCUCUCUCCCUCUCUUCUCUUCUCCCCCAAUCUCCCUCUCCCUCUCCCUCUCCCGGUAGAAUCGUGGAACUCCUCCAUGCCUUUGCGCGCCGCCGGAGAAGACGACUGGGUUUCGCAAGAGGUAAGCACCCCCCCCCUCAAACCCCUCUCCUCCCCGCGCGCGCGACCCUCCCAACACCCCCUGCGCCGCGCGAGCCUCCCAACACCCCCGCGGCGCUCAAAGGCAUGGAGAGUUCCACGAUUCUACAGGAGAGGGAAAGGGAGAGGGAGAGAGAUUGGGAGAAAGAGAAGAGAGGGAGAGAGCCUGGAAGAUGAAAGAAAAGGAAAGGGAAAAAAAAGAAGAAGAAAAGACAAAAAUUGGAGAGAGAGGAUGUCUGUUAACUCUAACAGUCAUCUAACUGUGAUUUUUAAAAAAAGGAGAUUCAAUCUCCACCAUCCAUCCACCAUCCAUUUAAAUAGAUGGAUGUGCGGAUGCUAAUAGCACACGGCUGCUGUGCUCUUAAGAGCACAGCAGCCCUAUCUCUAUAUAUAUAUAUAUAUAUAUAAAGUUGAGCUAGAAUGUGGUGCUUUUGAGUUUUUAACCAUUGGAUGAAGGAAUGUAAAAGUUGUGAUGAUGAUGGUAGGUGGUGUAAGUGAAAUAGUGUUUGAUCCAAGGCUAUUAGUAACGAAGGAGUAUAUCCAAGAGCUAAAAACCUAAAAGCACCAAUAAGAUGAUACUUUUAAAAGUAUUCUAGCUCAAUUAAUAUAUAAUAUAUAUAAUAUAAUAUAAUAAUAUAUAGAAGAGUGGGCUGGUAUGCUUUCGUAAAGCACGGAGGCCUCCGUGCUUCCACUUUGUUUUCGAUGUUCGGACUUUCGAAUCGACGAUCGGACUCCGUUAGUUGAUUUAGAGUAUUUAAAGUAACCAAGAAAUUAAAUUUUGCGAAAAUCAAUAAUUUUAACGGCCGUGGUGAGCCGGUUGCAAGUUUAACGGUGUAGAAAUAUCCAAAUCACGUGAAAUUUUGAUAGAAAAUUCUUUAUACCAUAUAAAACAAGAUCAAUAACUUUGAUCUAAAAUUUUAAUGUCAUAUCAUCAUAUUUUGUGAGAUUUUUAUUUUCAGCCGUUGAUUUUGAGCCACUUCGAUCACUAGGCAAAUGAUAUCGAAAAAUCGCAAAAUUUAUUUUCUAGAUACUUCAAAUACUCUAGAUCAAGUCUAACGGAGCCGAUCGUCGAUUUGAAAGUCCCAACAUCGAAAACAAAGUGGAAGCACGGAGCGCUCCGUGCUUCCGAAAGCACCCCAGACGCACUCUAUAUAUAUAUAUAUAUAUAUAUAAAGAUGAAAAUUCUAAAAAUAUGGCCUACAUUAAAAAUUACCCAUAACAAGUAAUAUUUGAGACAAAGGAUAGUUGCUUUGUUGGUUUAAGAAUAAAGUUAAUAGCAAAAGUAGUGGAAUAAAGAGCACGGAACUAUAAAUGUUAAUGCUUAAAAACUAUUUAUUAAAUGUUGGUUUAGUUGAGAGAAAGAUAAUAUACUAUCUGUUUCCUUCAAUUUUUUUUACAAAAAUCAACUUAACGAGAAAUGUAAAGUACCUAGAUUUCGAACUUAGGAGAUGGGGAGGAUCAUGAUCCUCAAUUCUAUGCAUCAAUUACAGGGGCUUUUGGUUCUUCAGAAACGUGUGAAAGAAAAAAUUUUGAGAAAAUUUUUUUAUGGAAACCUCUUUUUUAGUUUUGGCCCACUUGGCUUAAUUUCAAGAUAAACUAGUUUUUGGAGAUUUUUUUUCAAAUUUUAUGAAAAAAUAAUAUUUUUAUUUUUAAAUUUUUUUUAAGAAAAAUUGGAAAGAAGCUUCUCGGAAAAGCUAGGUAGUUAUUCUUUGAACUAAACAAAUGAAAAAUUAGAAAACUGUUUUUCUUGAAAAAUUUCAUAAAAAAUUAGUAAUUUUCUUUUUUAUUUUUUAAUGAAAACAAAAGGAUAAUUUUUUAAAUUUGGAAAGAAACUUCUCAAAAAAUUAAUUUUUUCUUAGAAUCAAGCGGCCGAAAAAUUGGGAAAAGAGUUUUUCAUAGAACACAUUUUUCUCGAAAAUUAAUUUUUUUUCAUACUUUUCUGAUGAACCAAACAGAUCUGCGCUAGAUACGGUUAGUCUUUUCUGUGCACUGUUGGAAUGGGAUGGGAUAGCAGCUCUUAGCCUCACCCUUUUUUGCUUCCAUUAAUUAGCAUUACUACUUUGCAAGCAACAAAGGCUAGCGUAUAACCGACCGUCCCGAAAGCAAGUGGCAAAAAAUUUGAUGGUUGGUAUAUGAGACCCAAGUUCGAAUCCUAGUUGAUUCCCAUUUCAGCUAAGUUUAUUUUUAAAUGAAAAAAACGAAGCAGCUAGCGUGCUAUCUAUCUCUCUCUCAAAAAAAAAAAAAAAAAAAAAAAAACUAGCAUAUAUAGUAGUGAACAAUGAAAUAUUAUACAAUUAUUGGAAACAUUCAAUUUUUCUUUCUUUUGGAAAGGAACAUAUAUGCAAAUGAGGGUGAUAUCACAUGUGUUGGUCCACAUUGAACAGUAUAAUUAAGGAUUAUAUUUCAGCAUAUAAGAAGUAGCAUUUUGGUAUUGGUAGUUUAAUUAGAUCACCAAAGCAUUUUGAACUAAUGUUGAUGAAUUGAUUGUUUAGGGUGUUAUAUAUCUUAUUAAAAUAUUCCAGAAAUUUAUGCAUCUUUAGUCAAUGGUUAAGCCCAACAAGUUACUCUUAACAUUAUUAGUGUACUAAGACCAUUAAUUAAUGCUAUAUAUAUAUAUAUAGAGAGAGAGAGAGAGAGAGAGAGAGAGAGAGAGAGAGAGAGAGUUGAGCUAGAAUACUAUCAAUAGCAAACGAACUCCGUUGCCAUCCAUUUGUUUUCGAUGAUAGAGCUUCCAAAUCGACGAUCGACACCGUUAAACAUGAUCUAUACCACUUGAAGUGUUUAGAAAUCAAAUUUCAAAUCUUUUCGACAUCAUUUGCCUAAUGAUCAAAGGGUUUCAAAAUUUGUAAUUUUAAUGGUCGAUAUGAGGCGUUUUCUCGUUUAACGGCGUAAAGAUAUCCAAAUCAAUUGAAUUUUUGUUAGAAAAUUCUUUAAACUAUUUAAAACAAGAUCUAUACUCUUGAUCUUGAUUACAAGACUCCUAUCAUCAUUUUUUAAAGAAUAUUCAUUUUCAGCCGUUCAUUUUUGUGUCCACUCGAUGGAUAAGAGAACAAUAUCGAAAAUGUAUGAAAUUUGAUUUCUAAACACUUCAAGUGGUAUAGAUCAUGUUCAACGGUGCCGAUCGUCGAUUUGGAGGCUCCAUCAUCGAAAACAAAUGGGUGGCAACGGAGCCCGUUUGCUAUCGAUAGUAUUCUAGCUCAACUCUAUAUAUAUAUAUAUAUAUAUAUAUAUAUAUAUUUGAUUUGACUUUGGCCGCAAAUUUUUGCACAACAAGUAGUGAAAGUUUUCAACCAAAAAUAAAAUUGAGUAGUUAGCUUCUAACAUUAAUUUUGCUGGUUCCUACAGUAAGUGACAAAGGGCUUAAUAAAUAGUAUAUAAGGUUCUAAGUUCGAAACUUAAUUAGUUGUUUUAUAUUUUCAGCUAAGUUUAUUUAAAAAAAGAAUUAUCUUUUUAAAAAAAUAUACAUAUUUUUUUCUUUUUGGCCAAUUUGCAUAAAAAAUUUAUAAAUUUUGAGCUUUUACAAAAUUGGGCCGCCUUUUUUGAUUUUGCAGAUUUGUUCAAAAUUUUCAGCAAACUGACCAAAAUAACCUUAUUACUUUCUCUCUCCUCUUUCUCUCUCCUCUUCUUUUCUCUUAUUUAUUAUUUUUUCUCUUGCCCAAGAAAGCAGCGGAGGUAGAGGCCGAGGCGGAAACGGCCCGCCUCACCUCUCACCCUCAUGCUCUCGCCCUUGCCCUUUCCCUCGCCCACGCACCUCCGACCUUCCUCGCCUCCGACCCCGCCGAGGCCGCACCGCGAUCCCUUUUUAUUUUUUUUGCCCCUCUUCGACCCUCCUCCGCCACCUUCCUGGCCCUCGGCGACGAUAGUGACGACAAAGCGCCUCUCGCCCUUCCCCACCCUUCUCGUCCUCUCCCGGCCUCUCCCUCCUCCUCUUCCACCUCCGACGACGACGCAUCUUCCCCGACGCCGACACUGUGGAGGUCGCUGCGGUGCGGCAGCCUCGGAGCAGCGGGUCCUUAGUAGCGUCGUCGCCGGCGUCGUGGCCGUUGGCAGAGAGGGGUGACCAAAAAAAAUUAUAGAAGAAGUAAGAAAAAAAAUUAAAGAUAAAAAAUUAUAGAAAAAGAAAGAUGAAGACGAAAUUGCACCGUUAAAAUAAAAUUGCACUGUUUUAAAAAAUCUUUGCACUAUAAUGAACAUAAGUUGCACUACUUAAGAUGUAAACUGCAGCUUUAAGAUGAAAAUUACACUCUUUAAACGAAAAUUGUACUCUUUGGGAGAUAUUUACACUAUUUCUUUUCUUAUUGCACUCUUUCAGAUAUAAACUGCAUCAAUUAAAAUGAAAGUUAUACUUUUUAAACGAAGGUUAAUUCCACUCUUUGAGAUAUAUUUAUACUGUUUUUUCUCUUCUUCUACCCUUUGAGAUGUAAACUGUAUCCAUUUAAGAGAUAUUUAUAUUGUUUCUCCUCUUAUUGCACUGUUUCUCCUCUUGUUACACUAUUUCUACCCUUGUUACACUGUUUCUCCUCUAAAAGUACACCCUUUAAGACUCUAUGCAUUAAUUUUUCGUGACUUGAAGAAGUGUCGAGCACAAUUUUAUGGAUUUCCUUUUACAUUUUUUGUACAUAAAACUUUUGGUAUAAUUUGCUUUAUAAGAAUCUUUUUUCAAGACAAAUAUACUAUGCAUUAAUUUUUCGCCCCCCUCAAACUUAAAUUCUGGUUUCGUCCCGGUUAAAACUUAUGCAAUGAAAAAACAUAUAACUGACCUUUCGAAUAGUAGUAUUCAAAUAAUACUUCUGUAAAAUCUAGUCGGCGAUGAGUGCCCUCAAUCUUAGUAAUUAGAAAGACAAAAGUUUGAUAAGUUUGACAAAUGAAGAGUCAGAAUCAACUUCCACCUGGUACUUUUGAAAAUGAGCCAGCAUGUUUAAAUUAAUAAUAUUUUAAAUUACUCUCUUUUUAUCAAAAAUUGCAAUUUUGAUUCAUGUAAUUGGAAGUCUCGACUCGUACACAAACCUCAGAGCAGAAUUGAGUUAGAAUACUUUUAAAAUUAUCGAGGUUUUGGUAUAUACGUUUCAUUGCCGAUGAGAGGAAUUUGAAUCAACAAUCAAGAUUAUUAAACAUAAUCUAAAAAAUUUAUUUGAACUUUUUAAGAACUAAACUUUGUAAAUUUUUUCACUAUAUGGCUAUAGUUUUUUUUUUUUUUGCUAAAAAAUAUCACCACACAACUACAAAUAGCUUUCACCUGCAACAAAUUAAUUAAGCACAUCAACUCUGAAGAAAUUAUACAGUGAAAAAAAAAAGGAUAAAAAAAAAAAAAAAAAAAAAAGAAAAAAAAAACUGUGCAGGAUUAUUUAGUGGUGUUAACGGGCCGGGCCACUUGCGAGGGGGCCCAAGAAGCCCAACCUUUAAAGAUGUAAACAAAGGAAAAAAAUCCAGAUCCAAUAUUCCGUGGAGGGAUCGCAAAUAUCCGAAUCCAAGUCAAAACCCGAUUAGAUAAUAGUAAGAAUUAACAAAAAAAGUAAAAAUAUUUAAAACUUCAACUAUCAUCCGUUUUGAUGUAACUAACUAAUCUUUAAAAAAAUUCAAUUUUAUUACUUAACAUUUUCAUUCAUUUCGAUUCUGACUCAAGUGGCGAACCAAAUAUAAUGAGGUAAUGAAUCAUCCUGAUUUCAUUUUCAGCUUAUUCUCAUUCCGAUUUCGAUACUGAUUCCGAUUUCAAACUAAACACACUUAAAUGUAGCUAAAAUACAUAAUUUUUUUUUUGUAAAUACUCAUUUUUUAUUUUUUCUUCUGACUUUUAAAAAUGUGAAGUAUAUGAAUAUUUUUAUAUUUACAUUGUUAGAGAACGGUAUUUAAAUAUUUUUAUAUUUAACAAAAAUCUAUAUUUUAUCCUUUUAAAAUUAUAAGUUGAUACAUUUAAUCCCCUUCCGUCAAAAUUUCUCACUAUUCUAUCCAUUUCUUAUAAGUUAUACCAAAAUUAUUCUUGAAAAUAACAUAACUAUAUUAAAAUUUUAUUUUUUUUAUUAAUCAUUUUGCCAUCUCUAUUAACACAGUAACCCUCUAGAAAUAAUUGUAAAACUUUAAAAAGACAAAAUAUAAAUUUUUAAAAUAAAAAAUUAAUAUUUAUAGAAAAAUAUUUGUAUUUUUAGCCCCAAAACAACAAUUCAAUGUGUUGAUACGAACCCAUAAUUUUGUGUAGCAUAUGCAUUGUGCAUGCGUAACCGGAGCCAACUUGAUUGAAGAUAUAAUCUAGAUCUGUCCUUGAUUUGACAUUUGGAAAAAAAAAAAAACAAAACAAAUAUGUAUUAAAUAUAAAUUGGAAAUCGAAAUUUUAUGUACUUAGUGUUGGAGAAAAUUCAAUAAUUUCUCAAUUACUUUUAUUAUUCUUUUAUUUAUUUAAUUUAUUUAUUAUUUAAUUUAUUAUGUUUUAAAUUAUUAAUCGAAGAUUUUUGCAGACGUUUUGUUUUGCGCGUCGUGCGCACCGGCUCUCUGCGCACUCCACUCGCACGUUCGCGCGUCCGACGCGCGGACGUUUCGAGAAGAACGUUGGAGGUCCAACGUUCUAAUUAUGUCAUCACAUAUAUGAUGAAGUGCAACUGUAGCUCUCCCAGUUGGAAAAAAGGGGGGCAAGAGAGCUUUUGACUGACAGAAUAGUUUUCUCAAGAAUUAAUUUUAAUUUUUCCUUUAUUAAUCUCAUCCACUCCAUUUAAUCGUUUUUAUCGCUGGGUGUUGAAAGAGUCUCCGUCAACCUCCCUCACGAUCGUGCUCACAGUAGGAGGAAUUCCGGUUGUACCUUGGGGCGGUGUUUCCGGUUAAUCCCGCACGUAAGGACGGGACCAAGCUUAAGUAUUUUGAACCCGUGACUUUGGGCUCAACAAGUUAUUAGGAUUAGCACGCCACAAAUAAGGGAGCCAUAGACUCUCUGGGAUGCAAGAUCCCCUAGGUCGUAGGCAAUGCUUAACUUAGCUAAUUGGCUACUUAUGUGUAAGUUCAAAAAGCGAGGUAAAGUUAAAGGUACUGAAACUAACUGCAAUGUAAGAAUAAUCCAAGGUUUAUCCACAGAUUUUACUCUUCAAAAUAUGAGGAGUUUUCUUUUUUGUGAUUCAUAGCUUGUGCUUCAUAAACUGGUCAAUUUUUUUUUCUUUUUUUUUUGUUAUUAUUAUUAUUAUUUUCUUUUUUUGUGUGUGUGUGGAACUUAUGAAUGGGUCAAUUUGGGGAGAACAAGAUGGACUUGUGCAUCUGAGAAAGAAACAGGGAGAGUUCUCUGCAUAUGGCAAGCAAUGUCCAGUGUCCACAGCUGUGGCAUCAUCAUCAUCAUCAUCAUCAUCAUGGCUAAUUCCAUGCAUGUAGGCAUCAUCAUCAUGGCUAAUUCCAUGCAUGUGGGCAUCAACUUGCUCCACUGACUCACAAGUUGGAUCUUCUUCUUAGGUUCCUCAUACAGUGAUCCAAAUUUUAUCAUAAUGAUCGAGUGAUGCUUCCGCAGAAGUGCUGUUGACAAAUACUAAAGAUUUUUUUUUUUUACAUCUUUUGGUUUCAAAGCCAAACGAUUCGNUUUUUUUGUUUACAUCUUUUGGUUUCAAAGCCAAACGAUUCGUUUUUGCGGCACCAAAUCUUCAGAUUUUACUAACUAGCUAGCUUGAGUACAGUUUCUGUGGAAGUGCUGCUCGGGCUAGUUGCUAGUUAUAUCAGACGAGCUGACGAGUCAGAUUUGAUUUUCUUAUAUUAUGUUAUAUUAUAGUAGAGUAAAAGCAGAAACUCUAAACUAACUCAUUUCAGUCUCCCGUAACUUUUAGACUUUUUUGAUUUGUUAAAAUUUUGUCAAUCACUUUUUGAAGAUAAACAAAACUUUGAUAUUUUUGGACCCCUUUGAUAAGAUUUUUUUGGGUAGCACUGUCACAAGUGGGAGUAGGUAGGGUGCCACUGAAAUGGACUUAUAAUGAUGCCAUGGUAAUCUACUAGCAAGGAAAUGAAAGAGAGAUGCUAUUGACUUGGUGUGAUCACAUCAAUAAAAAACAGCAUGAGAGAAUUAUUUUGUGCAUAGAAUAAUGGGAAAAAUAACUCAAAAAGGAUAAGGGGAUGUUCGGUUCCUCAGAAAAUUCUCAAAACUUAUUUUUCAAAAAAAAAAAUUAUCAAAGAUAUUUCUUUUCGUAGUUUUUAUUUUUCAAAUAAAAAUUUUAGAAAAUGAAAAUGAGACUUUUUCCAAAAAAUUACUUUUUCUAAGAAUUAAAUGAGCGGAAUAUAUUUUUUUGGCUAGGAAACUAUAUUCUAAGAUAUUUUUUUUUAGAAAACUAAAAACUACCUUGUGUUCCAUUAAGGAGGAGUAAAGAGAAUCAACGAUAUAUAUUUAAAAAAUUAUUAUAAACAAAUUCAAAAACUUUCUAUCUAAUAGUUUGAUAUUAUUUUUACCAUCUAAUAAUUCGAAUUAUAAUAAUUUACUAUCUUAUGAUUAUUAUUUUGAUUACUCAUCGACAUCUUUUAUCCAAAUGAUAUAAAAAUUGAGAUGUAACAAUCACAUCGCUCAAUAACCUAUCAAAAUAAAACAAAAGAUUAUGCAAUAAAAAAAUUCUAAAAUAUUUUAGUCUAUCUAUCUACAAAAAAUGUUACAUUUAAGUACCCACUUUUUUAUCUUUUACGAUGCUUAAAAACGUCCCAAUAUAUUCCAACGUCACUUUUAGAAGCAUCGGUCAAAGCGUCGGCAAAUGAAAAGUCACCACGCAUAUAUUGACGUUUAUCGCAAGCGUCGGUAAAAUAUAUUAUGAUACUUUAUAGUGUCAGAAUUUUUAAAAUCUUGACGCUUUAAAACGUCGAAAAAUUAAAAAUAAUAAUAAAAUUUAUUAUUAUUUAAUAAAUUGUUUGAUAUCAUAUGAUGACGCUUUUUGAAGCGUCGGUAUUUUUUAUAUUAUAAAAACACUUGGAGACACUUACCCUAAGCAUAGUCUAAAAGGCGUCCUUAUAUUAAAUUUUUUUUUUGUAGUAUGCAUCCGUCACAUGCUGGAUUUUCACGUUAAUUUAACGGUGUAUGUAAUAUAACGAUUGGCCAAACUAGAAAUGAUAUAUAGGACAUUAAAAUACUACAAUGUAUGUUACGAGAAAUAAAAUAAAUAAGGAUGUACUUAUGGGUAGCAGCCCACUAUUUGCGAGCCAGUUCUUGUUCGGCUCAAUAAUAACUUAAAUACAUAUAUUUUAUAUUUAUAUAAUUUAUAUAAUUUAUAUUUAUAUAUAUAAAUAAUUAAUUAUAUAUAUAAUAUAAUUUUUAUUAUUUAAUUUUUACUCCAAUCUAAAUAUAAUAUCAGAUCAAUUAUAAAAAGGCUCACUAUAUGUAAAGUUCCAACAAUUAGAUGAAAAUACAAUGAAUAAAAUUUUAUAAAUUUAUUAUAUAUAUAUAUAUUAUUAAUUAUUUUAAUUUGUUGUUUAUAAGUCAGUUGGUGUUCAACUCGUUAAUAAGCGAGCCGAACACGAAAUGAAUUUUUCGGCUUCAUACUUUAACAAACCAGAUUGAUCCCAGCUCGCUUGUGUUUGGCUCAUUCAUGUCCGAUCGUUGACGCUAAUCAGUAAUUUCAAAAGCUCGAGCUGUUAGAAAUACACAACCAAUUCAUUUAAAGUGUACAGAUACUGCGCCCACAGGUCUCAAUUGUGACUCGGCCCAUCCGAACUCACGCCAUUUUGAACAUAACUCGACCUAUCUAGUCUCACGCCAUUUCAAAUGUAACUCGGCCCAACUCGGCCUUCCAUCAUAAGGCAGGACGCUGACCCACUUAGUCCAACAAUUCACACCCCCUAGAUGUACUAAAGUUUGAUAUUUAAAAUUAUCCAAAAAAUAUAUAUGAAAUGACCAAAUUAUCCUCGCACUCUCUCUCUCUCUCUCUCUCUCUCUCUCUCUCUCUCUCUCUCUCUAUAUAUAUAUAUAUAUAUAUAUAUAUGAAGCCCCAUUUCUCUCAUCCAAAGUACACAAAACACAAAUCUCCCUGCUUCUGCUUUUCCCUGAAGCACUUUUCCCGGCCCCCAAAUCUAAAUCCUCGGAAAUGGCAUGUGAUAGUACAACAGCAGCAACAAGGACCACUCCACUCCUCAUCCUCGUACUCCUUUUCUGCACCGAUAUCAAAGUAUGCGCUGGCAUAAGAGUCGGCAGGGGAGUCCAAGCCGGCGCCCAGUUCAUCCGGGACUCGUGCCGCGCCACCGAAUACCCGGCGCUGUGCCUCCGGACCCUCGCCGCCCACGCGGCGGCCGUCGGGACCAGCCCGCUGCUGCUGGCCCGCGCCUCGACGGCGCGCGGUCGGCAUCGUCCGCCGUGUCGGCGAUGGCCGCCGGCGGCGGCAUGAGCCGGGGGGAGGCGGCCGCCGUGCGCGACUGCGUCGACAUGCUGGGGGACGCUGCCGACGAGCUCAGAGAGUCCGCGGAGGAGAUGGAGCGCAUGAAAGAAGGCCGCGGCAGCGGCACGCAGGAGGCGGAAAGGUUCGAGAUCAGUAACGUGCAGACAUGGGUGAGCGCCGCGCUCACGAACGACGACACCUGCUUGGAGGGGUUCGGCGGCGAUCUCCCAAGCAGUGUCAGUGAAUUAGUCCGUAGUCAAGUUGUGAACGUCGCGCAGCUGACUAGUAACGCUUUAUUUUUCAUCAAUAAGUUGGCUUCUUUCGAACCGUAAUUUUGAUAAUGCAGUGGUUAAAAAUAUUAUUUUUAUAUUACUAACGGUCUAGAAAAAUUAAAAAUACUUGUAAUUUUUUUUCUUUCAAUAUUUUAAAAUUGCAAUUGUAGUUUGCCAGCAUAUUUUUUCCAUAACAAUUGCAACUGUAAUUUAAUAAUAUUAAAAAUAAAAAAACUUAAAUAUUUUAUAUUUUUUAUAAUAUAAAAAUAAAAUUUUUAGGCGUCACCGAAUUAGGCCAAGUACAGUUAGUGGGGCCCUGAAUUCGCGGAUGCUCCGAAUUUGUAGCACCUUGGUUUGAAGCAAAAUACACUCCCUAGGGGGCUUUAUAGUUAAUUAGUUUAUAUAUAUAUAUAUAUAUAUAUAUAUAUAUUAUAUAUAUAUAUAUAUAUAUAUAUUUGCAUUAAAGAUGGGAAUUUUUACAAAUUUCCAAUGUAUUUAUAUGUCCCAGUUUGUAAGGAGUGAAUGUUGUUGGAUGUUGUAGUUUAUUCCAAAAAAAAAAAAAGAAAAAAGAAAAGGAAAGUGCUUUAUCUAAAAUGGUUAAUACAAGAUUAUUUUGAUAAUAUCGAGACUAAAAAUAUUACUUUUAUAUUAUAAAAUAUUUAUAAUUUUUAAAAAUAUUUUUAAUAUUUUAAAAUUAUGAUUAUAAACGCUACAGGAUAAGCAUGUGGUGGCUGUUCAUAAUUGUAACCAUAUUUUUAUUAUAGUAUUAAAAAAAGAUUAAAAGUACUCUUAGGUGAAUAAAAAAAGUUUCCCAGUAAUAUCUCCUUUCCAAGAUGAGUUGAACGCAUGCUUUGUUAGGAAUUGAUUUGUGAAUAAUCCCACAUUAAAUAAUUAAGAAGAGAUUAAAUAAUGAGUCCGGCUACUAUGCUAUCGGUAGUACGGAGCGCUCCGUGGUACCAAGUUGUUUUCAAUGAUACGGCUUCCAAAUCGACGAUCGGCUCCGUUAAACUUGAUCUGCACUAUUGAAAGUAUUUGGAAACUAAAUUUCAGAUUUUUUCAACAUCAUUUGACUAGUGAUCAAAAGGUCUCAAAAUUGACAAUUUUAAUGGCCGAUGUUGUGUGUUUGUGAGUUUAACGGUGUAAAACAAUCCAAAUGCGAUGAAAAUUUUAUAGAAAAUUCUUUUCACUAUUUAGAGUAAGAUCAGUAUAUCUCAUCUUGAAUUUAAAUCUUUUAUCAUCAUUUUUCAUGAGAUUUUUAUUUUCAGCUGUUCAAUUUUAGAUUACUUGUUUGAUAGGUAAAUGAUAUCGAAAAAUUAUGAAAUUUAGUUUCUAAAUGCUUUCAAUAGUGUAGAUCAAGUCUAAUGGAGCCGAUCGUCGAUUUGAAAGCCGCAUCAUCGAAAACAAUUUGGUAGCACAGAGCGCUCCGUGCUACUGAUAGUAUAAUAGCCUAGUUCUUAAAUAAUUAUUAUUAUAUAGUGAUGGAUAAUUUUACUCCAGUAGAGAGAAAUUUAGCUUCUUUCUCGUUUUAUUGUUUCUUUUUUUUCAUCUUGGCCCUCUAUAGCAUGUUAUCCAGCUCGUACGUUUUAUUAAAAAUAUAAAGUAACUAGAUCUCGAGCUUAGAAUCUCAUAUACCAAGUUUUUUACCAUCUGUGAUAGAAACAAUCACUAAAAAUAUGGAUUGUUAGAUAUAUAAAUUGAUUAAAUUCUCCCUGCGUGUGGUUGUUACAGAUGUUGAAUCAAGUAGGGUUAGUGAGUUUUAAGGGUGGCAGAACAAUUAUAUGAGAAGUUAGGAAAUCGAUAUGACAGGACAUAUAAUCAGUUUUGAAAGUUCAAAUGUGAAAUCCUAGAACCUAGGAUGCAAAUGGAUGCAGGAUGGUAGAGAUCUCAUCCCCAUCCGUGCCAAAUAGGACGAUAAGUGAAAGUCAAAAAUAAAAAAGAUAAUAAUAAUUUGUCUCAAAUCUUCAUCUCGAUCCACAAAAGAAAUGGAGAGGAAUGUAGGAGACUCUUUUCUUCUUUUGAUUUACUCCAAUUUGUAAAAAUUUUGCUACUGUUCGGGCCUGCCUCGAUCCGUCGAGAAAACGGCAUUGGAGGCCGGAGACAAUUCUCGCCCUUAGAUCUGUGUCAUUUGCAUCAUUUAAUACGACCUUUAAUAUUUCAUCCAAAGCCAUAAAUAUUCUAGUAAUCACAUCAAUUUUUUUAUUUUUACUAAAAACUAUUUAAAUAUUUAUCAAUCCUAAAAUAAGGGGUGUAAGAUCUACACCCUUUCUUUGGGUGUACAAAAAGUAUUUUUCUUAACGAGCAAUGAGUUUUUCAUAGAGUAAAUUGCACUAUAUCUACUGAACUUUCAAUCAACUUUCAGUUUGGUUCUCGAACUUUAAAAUUCUACCAUGUGGCCUUUCAAUAAUUUUCCAAUUUAUUUGCUAAAUUUUCAACAAUAUAUCAUUUUGGUCCUUAAAUAAAGCAUAAACCUAAUUCAUCUAUAUGCUCAUACACUAUAAAGAAUUCCCAACUCAAUGAGAAAUGUGCAGAUAUGUUGCAAAUAGGUAAUAAUUUGCCCUCCAGUAUUAAAUGUGCAGAGGACCAAAUUAAAACUUUUUUAAGAAUCUAAAGAUUACACACCAUGGAAUAGAACAAGACCGAAAGUUUAGGGACUAAUGAUGCAAUUUUUUUUUUUUUUAAGAAUGGUAGCAAGUUAUCUGUUCACUCAUUUUUUAAGAAAAAUAAAUUCAACUAAAAAUAUAAAGUAAUUAGAUUUCGAACUUAAAAUUUUGGAUAUUUAUCAUCAAAUUCUUUACCACCUGCGGUGGGAAACCAAGUAAUUUAUGGGAAAGAUAGAAGGAAGAAAGGGAGAAAACAGCAGAUAGAUUAAGAAAGAAGCUUCUUCCCCUCUUACUUUGUUUCUUCUUCACAACAUGGAAUCCCUUUUGUUACACUCUAGGGUAAGGCACUAUUUCACAAACCCUUCUCUCUCUCUCUCUCUCUCUCUCUCUCUCUCUCUCUCUCUCUCUUAUACUAUUACUUGUUCCAUGUGUUUGGGCCUCCUCCUAUUCUCCUCUUCCAUUUUGGGCUUCUGGGUUUUGCUCUCAAGCAGUUUUUAUUAUGCUUCUGCUCAUCUACUCAUUGUCAUUUUGCAAAAGGUGGUAAAUCUUGCUGUCACUGUCACUGUCGCAAUGGUAAAUGUCUCAUCAGAACUUAACAUGUACUCUGCGUCAUUUGAAAGCGACUUACCAACAUUUCAAAAUUUUGAUUUUGCUCGUCAACCUAUUUUAAGUAUUUUUCAUUUGCAUUUUGCAUGGGACGUGGUGGAGCCCUUAGAUUCGAAUUUGAGGAUACUCUGAAAUAGCGUUGUCGCAAGCCAAGCUCCUGAUUCUCAAACAAAAUUUUAUUAUUUGUAAUGAUGAACUAGGUGCAGAUAAUAGUUGCUCCAUUAAAUGAGUCAAAUCAAACAGAUUGGAAGGUUAAGAUAUCAAAAUCACGAUAUUCAAAUGUUGGGUGGUCAUUUCCAAAUGACACAAAGUUUUGUAUGUUAAUCUGAAAUUUUCUUUCUUAUGAAUUAGCUGCAUCCAAUUUAUUAGUUAUUCUAUUUGCAUUGCAUUUGUCCCAUUAUUUAGCCACAUUCAUGGAUUCUAUGUAGCUUGUGCUCUAUCAAGCAAAGUAUUUUGAGGAACUCACAUUUCUUUUUCAGAUGAGUACUUUUCUUUUUCUCCUUUGCGCAAAGUAUGAGAUUAGCAUUAUACUUUUGAGUAAACUUAGAUGUUAUUUUUCCCAAUCUUUUCUCUAUUAGUCUAUGAAUUGUUGGAACAUACAUUAUUGUGAAAGUUUUUGUUGGAAUGUAUUAUUGGAACUUAUUCUCAAAGCAAUAUAGAAUGUUGAGAUUCAGUUUGUUAUUUGCUUUGUGCUGCAGCACACAACUAUGCCGCGGCACGGUGAGCCCUGAUUUACACAAUAGUCAUCUAAUCAUCAUGUUUUGUGAAUAUAUAUAAACUUUCUUUCAAUCUUUUUUUAAAAAAAUUGUCUAUUUCGCCCGUUUCUCGUUUCCUAAAUCCCCUUCUUAGUCAUUACACUUACAUGACUUUACUAGAUAGGCUCAAUUGGAUGAACUGAAGAAAGAAAAUCACGAAGAAACUGUGUUCAUGCGUUACUGCGGUAAAAAGAGCCCUGGACUGAUAACUAUAUCAAUACUUGCUUUUGGGUUCGACAAUCGAGCUGUCGGAUGUAAUGCACUUCAGAAUAGGAGCAGAAGUGUCAAUUUACUGAACUUGCCUAUCGAGGCUCACUGGGAACUUCCCCAAGUAGAAAAGAAAAAGUCGUUCUUGUCGAAGAUGAGCCUUAGGAUCAGUCAGAGGAACACAUUAUCUGAUAUUUCGCAAGUUGUGCAUGAUCCAAAAGAUGACGAGGCCGUGAAGUCCUUCAGAGAAUUGCUUCUCCUGACCGGCCAAUUGCCAGAGCAGCACGAUGAUUAUCAUACCCUCUUACGGUACAAUACUAUUUGCUAAGCAUCAUAAAUCUCCUCGAGCGCUAUUUUGCAGCUAGGAACUUCUAUAGAAGUGCUACUUAAAUAGAACCGUCCUUUUUUAUUAAAAUUCCUGAAUAACUACUUGUUAUAAUAGAAGCAGAAGCUGCAAAUUAGAGCUUUUUUCUUGGAGUUCAUUUACUGCAAAUCAUUUCUAGAAACUUCUACUUUUCGGAAAAGAAGUUAUUCUAGAAGCCAAGCAAACAAGAACGAAAAAUAUAUAGGCAACAAAGAUAUUUAGUGUCUAGAUUCUUAACAUUUUCCUUGAGUCUUCAAACAAGAAGCAUUUGGAUUUCCUUUUCUUUUUUUUUAAUAACUUUUGGAUUGCAUGUAGAUUUCUGCGGAUGAGAGCCUUUAAUACAGUGAAAGCAAAAGACAUGUUUGUAAAUAUGCUGAAAUGGCGUGAAGACUUUGGCGUCGACACAAUAACAAAGGUAAAAAGAGAUGUGUGACAACAAACUAAAACUUUUUCAUAGAAAGGAUUUCGAAAGUUUCAACUUUGAAGUACUACUUGUCAAGAUUCAAUGGUAUAUAAUGCUUGCUGUACAUUUUCACAGUUCUCAUUAGUAAGCUCUAGUUAGCAAAAUUUCAGCUGGCAUAUCAACUUGUUGUCGAAUUUGCAGGAUUUUAAGUUCGAGGAGAUCGAAGCGGUCAAAAGAUGCUACCCGCACGGAUAUCAUGGAGUCGACAGAUAUGGCAGACCAUUAUACAUUGAAAGGAUAGGGUCAGUGGAUCUUACGAAACUGUUACAAGUAACUACCGUCGACCGUUACGUAAAGUAUCACGUACAGGAGCAAGAGAAAACAUUGAAUUUGAGAUACCCUGCAUGCUCGCUUGCGGCUGAGAGACGCAUAGCCUCCACAACGACAAUAGUCGAUGUGAAAGGAGUGGUGAGUAGCGAUUUUUCCAGUCUCUUAUUAACAAGCUACUCCUUUUCUUCAUUUCCUUUUAUCUGCACAUUUGAAAGCGUUCACUUCGCAUCACUACUUGCCGGGUUGAUUUUCGGGGCCAUCUUUACUUAUAUAUCUUAUACGGACCGCAUAUGCACCCGCGUACUGCAUAUCUUGUGACUCUCUUUUAAGUAUUUUUGCAUAGGGCAUGAAUAACUUCUCGAAACCUGCUCGAGAGCUGUUCAUCGAAAUUCAAAAGAUCGACAGCAAUUACUAUCCAGAGGUACACACAAAAGUGGUUUCAAUUAUCAAGUCUGCCGCUUUGGCAAACUGCAGAGACAGAUGUGUGAUUUUGUCCAAUUGCAGACUCUCAAUCAACUGUACGUAAUCAACGCCGGCAGCGGGUUUAAAGCUCUGUGGAAAGUUCUACACGCUUUCUUGGAGGCACGGACACUGUCGAAGAUAAAGGUUCUUCUAUCUUUCUUCUGUACUCUAUCAUCCUAAAAUCUGAUUUUUGUUGCAACUUACUAGUUUGAAAUUAUCAGGUUCUGGGUUCUAAUUACCAAAGUACUCUUUUCGAAGCCGUAGAUCCGAGGUAACAAAGUAGCUGCUCAGGAUUUGAAGGAAUGCUUAGGUAGUUUGCUGCUGAUAGAGGAAUUUCAUGCACUUGUACAGUAAUUUGCCGGAGUUUCUGGGCGGAACUUGCAAAUGUUCUGAAUAUGGAGGAUGCCUGCUGAAAGAUAAGGGGCCUUGGACUAACCCAGAUAUUAUUAGCAUUUUGCAGGUAAAAUAGAGUUGGUUUUACAAUUACUCAGAUUCCUAAACUAUUGUGCUUUCAAAUAUUGUUACCGAUCAGUAAAUUUAACUAAAUAAAUAAGUAUUUUUCUGGUUUCAAUUAUCCGCGUGCCUACUCCCUAAUCUGAUGAAUAUUUUAAGUUCAGGUAUCACAAUUCUAUUGAAUCCUAGAUGAGUUUGUUUGAGUUAUUCUGCUUUCAUGUGGCUGAUGAUGUUAAGAAAAUUAAUGGAAAUAAUGCAGAUUGUACAGUUAUCUGGAAGAAAAAAAAAUAGUGCAAAGGUUUCUGAUGCAAUUUCUUUUUCUAUUUGCAAGGUUUUAGGAGGUUCCUAGAAUAAUUUCAUUUAAGUAAAAGAUAAGUACAGGUAGCGUCGCAUUGAAUGCGAAAGCUAGACUACAGUGGCUAGCUACAAUGGAAGACUGAACUUGAUACCCCGCCAACUACGAAGAGAAGUAAGAUGAAAAAAGUGCGGCAAAUUAGUCAAUUUUCCUUGGACUAAAUCUCCUUUGGAGCUCCAUUUGAUUGGAGUGCGAAAUGCCUUUCUUCGCACUUUGUUUUUGUGUUUUUGGGUUCUUCAUGGACCCUCUCCCUUGUUGCAGCUGCUCUCUAUAAUCUAUUUCAGUAGAGUUCUUGUUCUUUCUUCUUUUUUUUUUGUUCAAUUUGGUUUUUUUCCUUCAAUGUUUAAGUACUUGAAUUUUCAAUUAAUUUGCAGGAAUCUACUGAUAGACAACUCAGGCCCAGAAACAACAGAGCAGUCAGCAUGACAUUAAAAGAGACGGAGAUGCCUGAGAUUGUAAUCUUCCUCCUUGAAGCUUAUUAUCAUAUCCUUUCAAGUUAAAGUCACUAAAAAUUUUGUAGGAUAAGCUUGAUUUUAUCUCCUUGACAUUUUCUACAUCAAUUAAGUCGAAGGUCUCAGCCUAUUUUACAUUGAUUUAUCCAAAAGUUCGAUCGGCUAUUUUGUAUAAUCAUAUACACAAUCAUCACAGGCUCAGUGACAAAUAUCUGCUUCCAAAAGUAGUAAUAUAAGUGUUAAGAUCGAUUUCGUCGAUGGUAAAUUCAUCUUUACUGAAUCAAGUAUCUCAUGCUUCGUAUAGUUUAAGCUUGCUCAACAUCUAUAUUCUUGUUAACUGUCUUGAUCCAGGAAGUUCAUGGUCCCCCAAAGAGUAUGCGAACAAAUUAUGCUAAGGAGGAUAUUUCGAAGAAGAUUUUAGAACUGGAAAGUUGGCUUGCAGACACCAAACAAGUGAGCGGGAAAUCGCUUUUACGUAUAUCCAUUCAACAUUUUUUUUUUUUUUUUUUCGUACAUAUAUCCCUCGAUAUUUUGAAUGUCUGUUUAUACGCCUCGAAAGUACGAGGAAGUGAUGUAUUGAACUUCCGUUUUCGUUCUCUCAGGUGUUGCACAAACUUGUAACAAAGCAGCAAGAACUUGCAGAUCACAUACAACAGUUAAAGCAACUAGCCUCAGUAAGAUAUUUACACCAAAGUUAACAUUUUCAGUAUUUUGCAUUAAUAAGUUGGUAAUGUAACCUCUUCAGCAAUUCUUUCUACAGGAUUGAAUCACAGUUCUGAUGACAGCAAAUGGUGGACAUAUGAAGUAAGAAGUAAGCAUGCGAUGAAAUUCGAGGAAUAUCGUGUAUAUAUAUAUAUAUAUAUGCAAUUAUUGCCUUUUCUUUUAUUUUCCAUUUUUUAUUCCCUGGAUUUUUUUUUUUUAAAAAAAAAAUUUUAUGAAAAGAAGUUCCUUCUAAUAGAUAAUGGUCUACAAUUUUACAUUCUACAUGCAUUCCCUCUGAGCACUGGUCUUAAACAUGAAAUUUUCAGCAACAUGCCAGUUUGGUUAUGUAAAGUUAGUUUCUGUUGAAUGCAAAAAAACACAUAAACUUGGUCAGUAACUAGUUUAGUUUCUUCUCACCCUACCACUCAUUUGACCCACGAAAUAAAUAAAAGGCUGGAGAUCAAAUCCCGUAAAUAUGCACGUACAGAUUUUGAUCCCCCUACCUCCAAAAUGCCCCAUGAGAGUAAGAACUACUACUUGAAGAAGCAGUUGUAAUGACUUGACCCGCUAGCAAUAAUAAUUCGCUAGGCCCAAUCUAUUGACCUAAAAUACUUAAGCUCAGUUAUUUUUACUAGAGUGUGUGGUCUAUUAUAUUCCGAAUCAAAACUCUUUUCCCAUCUGAUAUGGGAGUAUUAUUUAACAAAUGAGUAAUGUUAUGUUUAUAACAAGUUUUACAAAUGUCUACAAACUCAUGGAUGAACUCUGAAAUGAGCCACCUAAGCUAAUCUAGAUGUUAGUAAAAUUUGCUUGUAAAAUGUAAGCAUACAAAAAAUUACUCCUAAAAUCUAACUAUAACCAUAAUGAGAUAGAAUUGCCAACAACUAUUAUAUGCUGCAGUUAUACCUGUUCACCUCUAAAUGAAAAGGAAAUUAAAAGAAACAAAGGGAUAAGGGUUCUACUCUUAUCAUCCAGCAAUGUAGAGUUGAGUUAUUAGUUGUUAAAAUUAUUUCUGGAUUAUUUUCUAUUAGAUUGAGAAUUUGAGCCCCUACCAUUCAGGGUUCAAUUUCUACCAUUUACUAGGUCAAAUAGUCAAUGUUAAAUUAUAUAAAAUAACUAUUUUUUCAAAAGCUUAAGCUAGCAGAAAAUAGUAUUUUUAUAUUUAACACUCUCCCUUGUGUUUGGGCUUGAGACUUUUUGAUAAACGCAUGACGUGGGCUUGUAUUAAAUAGAAGAAAAUCAAUUACGCCCGGGAAUAUCGUGGGACUCAAACUGAAGACCUUAUGCUAUAAUACCACAUUAAAGAACAUGAAAUAAUUGUUAUUCUAUAAAAGCUUUAGCUAGUGAAGGAUGAUAUUUUUUUUAUUUUUCUUUAUAUUUAACAGUUACAUUAGAUUUCAAUAGAUUAAAUCCUCAUCUCUCAUGUCGCAUGUUAUCCAUUUGCCCCCAAAAUAUAGUUAUUUUUGUUGGUGAUCAAAUUUCAUUUAACAUAAUAUUUUAAUGACACCAACCAUGUUAGUUGAUCUGAAAGUAAUCAAGGUUUGGUCAGAUGCUUUGUCAAAUGGAGACCACAAAAAUGGCUUCAUCUCAACUGCCCAACUACUUAGGACACAUGGCAAGGACUUCUUGACUUUGGGUCUUAAGCAAAGAAUCUCCUAUCUUGUCCAAUAAUAAUUUGUAAAUUACUAUAGAUUUUUUUUUAUUGUUGUGGAAUAUUGCAAGGAACCUAAAGCUUAGUUUUAUACGAGAUUUUAUGACUUGUUAUAAUAAAGGCUUUUUAUAUUCCGAUACUUUAACAAAUUGACUGUAAAGUUAACUUAUGUCAUAUUUGGCUCGAUUGGCGCUUAUGCAGAAGCACUAUUUGAGUAGAGCUGUAUGAAGCACUAAUAAAAUUUUCAACAAAAUUUUACCUGAAACUUCUCAUGCUAGCAGAUUUUAAUCUUGGGGGCAGCGGAACAAAAGGUUCGAUCUAUUUGUUCACCGUAUGUCCAAUUUCUAUAAGCUUUUAUUUUCUACAGUAGAGUAACUCUUCGAAAAUCCAGCUAAAUGGAAACCAAAUCAUUUAAAAAGCAAUUGAAUCCAAGAAAGUAAAUAUGCAAUGAAUGUUUCAAACUUAACAUAACAUUAGCAUGUAUUUGAUCUUUCAAACUAUCCAUAGAUGUGAAAACAGUUUGCAAUGCUUAUUCCCCAUGCCCCCAUCAUCUCUCCCCCCUUCUUAUUCCUUCCUACCUAUCCCUUUUUCCUAACUACCAAACUGCCAACUUCAAAGACUAGUUCAUUUCUUACAUGGAGACCUCACAAGCAUCAACUCUCAUCAACUCUAUAGCAAAAACUUCUCGUAUCGGUGGUCGUCAGAGAACGUCGAGCCGCUCCUCGACUCAUUCGACAUGGACGAAGAACUCGGUUUGGUGAAGGGUGCCAACUUUAGCUUCACUAGUCCAUGCUUCCAUUCUCCUGAAGUUGUAUUUGCAGACCAAAUUUUCUCUAAUGGUUUCCUUCUUCCACUUCACCUCAUUAGUCGACAAAAGAUCGAAUCGAUUCACAACCCUUUUGAUUCGUUAGACUCGUCUAAACCGCUUCUUUCUAAUUUCAUUCGAUCCUCAUCGCAAAACUCUUCCCCUAUCUUAAAUUCAUCUCAAAGUGUUCCGAUUUCGGUAAGCUCAAACACGUCGAAAAGCGAGAGUUCGAAGAGUGCGAAGUUCAAGUCAUCGUUGGCGAGGAUUUGGAGGAGAUCGACGAAGAAGUUCCUGCAUAAGUACGCGAGUUUUCUCAAACCGUUGUAUGUUAAGGUGAAGGAGAUGCGGUUAAGCUCGUCGAAGAAGUCAAGCAACCGAACGAGUUCGUCGAGGACGAGCAAUGCAUCUGUGAGCAUGGAAUGGUGCAGCGAGAGUGCCGAUAAUGCUGUUCAUGAAGCAAUUCUACACUGCAAGAAGUCAUUUGUAAGUAGAUCAAGAUGUUCUUUUCCUAAUUUUUUCACAUUAAUGGACAAGUGUAACAUUUUAUUCUCCUUUUUUUUUAACUAAAUUGGUUAUGAUUCUUGUUUUGAAUUCAGCUAGGGGGAGAAGAACUAACGGAGAAAUUCUGAACCAAGUUAAGGGAGAAAAGAAGAACCAUUGAUGAAGACUUUGCUAGAGAUAUUCUCUGUGUUGUUGGCUUUGCUAAACUUAAUGUAAAUUUUUAGCUAUUCAGAAAAGUAAAAUGUUGUAAAUACUACCUAAACAACAAUGUAGUAUUAAGUAGUGACUUAAAUUUCAGUUCUCCAGUGACAAUCUAAUUUUUUUUCGGAAUAAGAGCCCCCAAUAUGCGAAUAUAAAAUAGAGGGAAAAAAAAGAAAAGAAAAGAAAAGGAAAGAAAAAACACUACAACAAAAUUGCCUUUUAGCGACAAUUAUCUCAUAGAUUAGCGGCGAUUAUAAUCGCCGCUACUCUCUCUACCGGCAAUUGUAAUAAUUGUCACUAUAAAUGGAAUCGGUAAAAGUCUAGCGGCAAUUAUAUUAGCGGCUGGUAAAAAGUAAAAUAAUUGUCACUAAAGAUUACUCUAUACCGGCAAUUAUAAAAGCCACUAAAAACAAAAUACAUUUGCCCAUAAAAUAUGUAACAUUAAUCACAAAUGCCAACAAAAAUAAGGUAAAUAGCCACUAAAUAUAAAAAAUAUUAAAUCAUCAUUAAAAGUCAUAUAUCCAAUUAAUCACUAUAAAAAUUUCAAAAAAUAAUGCAUAGACAAUGAAAAUUAAAAACCCAACAUUUCAUGAAUAUCAAAUAAGCUGAAUAAGCUGAAUAUAAAAGCCUAUUACAUUCUCAAAAGUGUUGCGAGUACAAGUAAAUGUCAAAAUCAAUUUUUAUCACAAAAUAAAUGUCAAUCAAACAUUAGAUAGCUAAAAAAAAUUCGAAUUACAAGAAGACUAAUAUGUAAUUAAAAAGUUUUAUAGAUGAAAAGAAAGUUCUAUGCGCUCCAACAGAGAAGUUCAAACUACCGUUCACGAAGACUCAUCCUUAAAGAGUGAAGAUUCCAAUAAAAAAGAUUCAUAAGCUUAAGAAAAAUAAUCUGCAAGAAAAAUAUAUAAAAAUAACAGUUAAAAAAUUAUUAACAAAUAUGCUAAGAAAAUAUAUUUAGAAGAUACAAAAAAUUCUAUAUUACCAUGUCAAUAAAACCGAGGUGUACAAAAGAGAACUAGAGCAUCCUGCAUGUUGUGCAACUUUGUCAUAACGAGCACUCGAAUCAUCAAGAAGUUAUUUUACAGCCAUAUAAGGAAAACAACCUACAACAAUAUCUUCUAUAAAAUUAAUGCCACAAAAGCUAAAGCGCAUUUUCUCAAUGCAUUAGUUACAACAAAUAAAAAAAUAAUUGAUAAUAAAUAAAAGGAAAAAGGUUGUUAAAAAGGAACGGAAAGAACUCUAAUAACUUUCAGGCAUCUCAAAUUCACCAAAGGCGAUUCUCAAUGACAGCAGAAAUGAUAUCCUUUAAAAUCUCCUGUGGAAACCAAAAACCACAGUGAGAACAAAUGCUUAAUAACGUAAUCAAAGUAAAAGGAGGAAAAAAACGAAGAAAUUUUGAUCAAAUGAAAAGGCUUAUGUAAUCAAAGAUAAGGAGCACUUAAAUUCUAGGUGAAAUGCUAAUUCAAAUCGGUAACUUGUAUUCAAAGUUAAAACACGAGACAGAAUCCAUAAAAGAUUUAAACAUCUCCAGGUCUUUUCAAUAUGUUACCUGAGAGUGAUCUUUUAGACCAAGAGACAGAAUCAAUGCCCUCGACGAACCGCAAUGGCUGCAACAUAUAGAUUGGAAGUAUGGUAUUACAAUCCACAGAAUAUAACUCACCAAUUUCUAUAAAAUUUAAAUUCUAGCGCAAUCCAGUUUCUUAUAUACCUAUUCUUUAGAAUUAUUUCCCAGAUGACAAUAGACAUGACAUAAUCUGAUGGAAUUAUUGACAAUACGCAGCGACAACAGAGUGAAUUUGCCAAACAUAUUUGCAGAUUAUGAAUUAGUCAUUCAACAUACUGAAAGGAAAUCAAAAUCAAAACUCUAUUAUAAGAAAAUUCAAAUAAUCUAGAACUAUCUAAAAUACCUGGUUGUAUGAGACAAAAGUAAAAAAUUUAGGCCCCUAUAAGGCAGCACUUCUGAUUUCUUUAAAGCAUGAAGUGAAGAAAUUAGCAUAACUCGAACUAACAAAUUCAUUGACUAAGUUCAACUGAUAGAAAGCUCUUAUUUCAAAAUAUCAAAUAUCCAUAUCUACCACGGAGAGAGGUAAAAAUACCUCAUAUGUUCAAUCAUCUGCCUUGCACAUGCAACUAGAAGUGGCUGCAACCAUCACAUUUGGACUCAAGAUCAGUAUCCAUUAGGAAAAGAAAGACCAAACUAGAGAAUAGAUGUGUUGUAUUUGCCUCAUCUCUCUUGCCAAAUAUCACAGAAACAUUAAAAGUUGGAUCUAGUGAUACACCUUCCUCCUUCCUAUCAUCAGAAAAAUUAAAUCUUCAAUCAGCAGUAUAGUCAAACAGAAGAGGAAAAUAAUUUGCUAUGGCCUCACAAAAUAAGGCCUGAUCAAUAUUAUAAAUUUGAUCAACACAUCGGUAUUAGACACACUGGCCCUAAAAUUUUCUCAGCUCUUAUUAUAUAGCAUUACUGAAACUAAAACACUUGUGCUUAAGUAACUAUUGAUUUGCCAAUUUGCUUUCUAUUCCAUUGCUGAUAAGUCAACGACCAUGGUGAACCUUAAGUUUAAAUGUCUUUUUGCAGUAAAAUACCAUUCCAACUAGAAAAUGAAAUGGCAAGCAAAAUCUUGAAGGUUUAAAAGGCUUGCUGUUAUCUCCAUAUGAAGACACCUCAACCAAAAAGACAUGCUUAGAAGCCCAUAAUUAUGCCUAUUUGAUAGGUUCUGCCCAUACUACCAAUCAACUAAAUACACUAUGUAUUACAUUUAGUGCACCAAAAUUCAAAUAUAAAAAUUUAUUUCAGUCAUCCUACCUCAGUUUAAGCAAAGAUAAGUCCAAAAUAUGUUUUUUUUUUUUUAACAGUGUCAAACUGCCGAUAACAUAGUGACUAAAUAGAAGAUGCACAUGCACAUAAAAGGUUGUGAUCAAAGAAUCUGUGAAUGCAUAGUUGAAACAGCAUACAGGAAAAAGGAAAACACAGACCUAGCAUGCAGUAUGGUACCCAUAGAUCCUAUUUGAGUCACCAUGACCUGAAAGAAUAUUUUCAUGUAAACAUGUCCAUAUUAAAAGCUAUAGAGCUGAGUAUGAGAUGCAACUCACCAGAAAACUAUCUGUAUACUUGCUGAUUAUGAUGUCCGUCUUAGUUCCCUACAAUGCCAAACACAUAAUGCUAUGAAGAGAUUCUCAUGUCACCUUGCAUGCACAAAAGUUUAUAUAUAAAUUCCAUCACGCUAACAUCUCCACAGCCCUAGGCUCAAAUUGGUGCAUGCUUUGUCCUUGUUUGAUGAUAGGGAAAGGAGGUAACAACAAUUCAGGCUGAAGUACGCAAAAAUUUUGAAUAGAAAAAUUUGCUAGGAAGAGGAAUGGUUAUGCUAACAGCAAUUCAGACGGGAAGGAAGCAAAAAAGUUGAACGAAGGAGGCACAGGGUUUAGUAGGAAAUGCCAAGCGAGCUGAGAGAACAUUCCGCAAUACAUAAUAUGCUAGCUUCUAAUAAAAAAAAUGCAUAAUAAUGAACUUAGGCUAUUCAACAAACACAUGCAGUAGUUAUAUUGGAGUGUAUAUCAUUGACAGCCAUAAUCUGUAACCAGUCUGCUACGUCACCAGAAUUAAUUGGUCGCAAUAACUGCUUAUUUUAGCACAAUACUCUUAAACCACAUGGCCUGGUAGAAUAAGAUGGCAAAUAAACAUUUCAAGCAUGUUUUCGUCAAUGACUUAAACCAAGAAAUAACCAUGCACUCUGUUACAUGUUCGUCAAACCCAUUAAGUUGUCAAAAACAAAACUACAUCAUGAUUAUAUAUGAAUGAAUCAUGCAAAUCUGGUGCUGUUAGGUACAUGCCAUGCCAAUCAGUUGUAAAUACAAGGUUAUACAAGGUUACACUACGUUAAAUACAUUAUACAUAUUAAGUCCAAUUAUACUAAAAGUUAGUUCAGAGAGCGAGAGAGAGACCUUGAUAUCUAAGGAUAUCGACUUCUCUGUAACAGGAAACUGAGUAGGGUGAGGAUUAUUUGAGGCCAUCUCCGUUUAUCCGAGAAAAUGUUAGGUCCAACCUAAUAUGAUUUCCGAAAAACAUUAGUAAAUUAAUGUAAAAAGAAAAAAAAAGAAAAUAUAGUAAAAAGACAUAAAUAAAUACUCAUGAUAUUUAUAAUUUUUACUUAUAUUCCCUCAUUAUAAUGAACUCGUACUCUUACUAGAUCAUAAUAACUACAGCACAUAAUUUCGAACAUGCUAAUUAACAGCUCCGACGAUCUCUCAUGCAGAGCACUUACACUCUGGAUUUUACGCUCGUAAGAUGUUUGUUGAAUUGCCCCAAACAUAACAUAUGAAUAUAUGAUUAUAUAGAAAUUUUACCUUUCUCUUUUUUUAUAUGCGGUGAAUAUGAAGAGCGUCCAAUUGAUGAUCGAAGCAGGUUUCUACCUGGUAGCUACGAAUUUCUGAAUUGACUUCAAUUAGGGUUUAUGUCACCAAAAAAUAUACAUACAUAUAUAUAUAACUAUAUAUGAACUUACACAAUAAGUAAUUCCCUCUCUACCUCUGAAUAUCGAAAUCAAAAGAAUAAUACUUUGUGAUUAUUCAGAUCUGCAUAUGAGAACCAUAUUUUAUUUUGUUAUGCUUUGAAUUUUCGUACCUGGAAUGGCACGAGGCGCGGUGGCGGAGGAGGGUGUGGGGCGCCCCGUGAAAGGGGUUUGAUUUUACGCCCUUCUCCGCCGCCGAGAGCUCCUCCGCCGGAGACGACGACGACGCCGCCGCCGCCGCCGCUGCCGAUAGGGAUCCGAGCUUAGAGAGGGAGGAGAGAGGAGAGGUGAAGGAGAGGGGGAGAGCUCGAGCUCGCGCGGGAUGGGGGAGAGGUUGGGUGCAAAUAGAGUAAUAGACUGAGAUUUAGUGUUCUAAAAAUGAAACCAAAUAGUUUUCCUCUAUCUGAGCCGACACAUCAGCAGUAGAAAGUAGAGAGAUGAAACCAAUGAUCAAAUAAAUAAAGGAAAACUUCAAAUACCCCUUGGGGUUUCGUAUUUUUUCACUUUAAUAUCCUGUAGUUUCAAGUGUAUCAAGUUAGUACCAUGUGAUUUCGCACUUUUUCAUUUUAGUACCCUGUGAUUUCAAGUAUAUCAAGGUAGUUUCAUAUGGUUUUAUUUUUGUAUCAAGUUAGUACUCCGUGGUUUUAAUUUUCUCCUUUUGUUAUCCAUUUCGGGGUAUAUAAUUUAACGAAAUAUUAAACCAUAGGAUACUAAAGUGAGAAAGUGUGAAACCAUAGGGUACUAACUUGAUACACUUGAAAUCACAGGAUAUUAAAGUGAGAAAGUGCAAAACUAUAGGGUACUAACUUGAUACACUUAAAACCACAAGGUAUGAAAGUGAGAAAGUGCGAAACCACAGCGGGCUAUUUGAAGUUUCCGCAAUAAAUAAUCAAGCAAUUGAUGCACAUCCUUGACCUACAGUGGAGCAAAAGAUGGAGCCCUAAAUUUUGCAGCUAAAUUAAAGCUGCAAAAGUCGAAGAAGUAUCACAUCUUUCUAGAAAAGAAAGGAAAAAAAAAAAUAAUAAUGAAAGACUAAAUUACACUUUUGGCCCUCAAAACUGUGAGGUACGGGACACCGUAGUCCCCAUAUUUCAAUUUAUUAUAAUUUUCUGUUCAAGUUUUUUAAACUGUUGCAAUUAAAUUUCACAAUCUAAUUUAGUUGACUACAUAUUUAUGUGUUACUAAUUUAAAAGUGAUGUAGUAAUACUAUAAUUGAUGAAGUGACAAUAAUUAGGGCUUUUCUUGCAGAUAGCCCCCUUACAAAUUUUUUUUUUAAAAUUGGCCCUGUCAAAAAUUUAUUUAUAAAAAUGGCCCUGGCCCCACCACGCAAGCGCCACGUCAGCGCCACGCAGGCAGGGCUGGGCCAGAUGGUUAAGUUGAACACGGUGAACCAUUCACCGUGUUCAAUACAAAACUUUGUAUUGAACACGGUGAAUGGUUCACCGUAUCCAAUACAAAAUAGCUAAGAUCAAAAUAUUUGUAUUAGACACGGUGAAUCAUUCACCGUGUCCAAUACAAAUAAUUGGACACGGUGAAUGGUUCACUGUGUCUAAUACAAAUACCUCCAACUUAGUCAUUGUUGGGGUAUUUGUAUUGGACACGGUGAACCAUUCACCGUGUCCAAUACAAAAAUCUUAUAUUGAACAUGGUGAAUGGUUCACCGUGUUCAACUUAAACAACUGGGCCCGCGCUGCUCGCGUGGCGCUGACGUGGCGCUGGCGUGGCAGGGGCAUGGCCAUUUUUGCAAAUAAUUUUUGGACGGGGUUAUUUUUGCAAAUAAAAUUUGUCAGGGGGCUAUUUGCAAAAAAAGCCCCAAUAAUUAAUAUGUCGCAUUACUUUUAUAGCAGCAACACUUUAUUAUUUAGUCAACUAAAACCUAAUUUGAUAAUGUGGUGGCUAAAAGUAUUAUUUUUAUACUAUAAAAAGCCUAAAAAUUUUAAAAGCGUUAAUCUUUCCUUCUUUUAUAUUAUAAAAUUACAGUUAUAACCCACAUACUUCUAGCGGGUGCGGAUUGUUAAUCCCACCCCUAAUGGGUUACUAGGGGUGGGGUUAACAUUAACAAUCCCCACCCCCUGUGGAUUAGGGUGGGAAUAGCUUCCAACCUCUAUUUAAUUUUUUAAUUUAAAUUUUAAAUUUUAAAAAUUUAUAAUUUAUAAUCUUAAAAUUAAAAUUUAUAAUUUUAAAUUCUAAAUUUUUAAAUUUAUAUUUUAAAUAUAAAAUUUAGAAUUUGAUAGUUUAGAUUUCUAAAUUUAGAUUUAAUCUUAAAUUUAAAAUUUAGAAAUUUUUAUUUUCGAAUUUGAGAUUUAAAAUUUAUAUUUAUAUUUUGAAUUUUUGAAAUUUAAAAAUUAUAUAUUUAAAUUUAAAAUUUUAAAUACAAAUAUAAUAUAAAGGGCAGUAUCAUUUUUUUUCUAUUUGUAACUACAUACUAUUCUUCUUAUUCAAUCUUAUUUAUUCAAACAUUAUUUUUCUUAUCCCCAGAAACAACUUAAUUUUCAUUCAAAUGAAAAAUCGAUAUUCUAGACUUAUAUCUGAACUUAUACCUAUCUUGAAACAGAUAGUUCUUACUUAUACCCGAACCAAAUAAAAUUAGAGAAAGAAAAAUUGCAAGUGCUUUUAAAUUUUUCAGGUUCUGCAUAAUAUAAAAAUAGUCCAUUUAGCUACUAUAUUAUUACCUAACUAGUCCUAAAUUGGAUUAUGCAACUUGAUUCCAACAAUUUACAAAAUUCAAGCCACAAAUUGUAACAAAUAAAAGUUUUGAGGACCAAAGUAUCAUGCACCUCAUAAUUUGAGGACCGAGAGAGUAAUUUUGCCAAAAAAUAAAAAAAGAAAAUUUUAAUUUUUUACUCUUUACACAGGUACAACAAAAAGUAUCAAUUUCACACCCCAAACCACUCUCGCACCAAGUUUCUCUUCAACGAACCCAAAGCCCAUGUAUAACGUAAUCUCAUGAUACCACCAUCACUACUUUCUCCUGUAAGCUACUGAAAUGUUGGCAUAUUGAUGUGUUAUAUUCUGAUCGGCUUGUACAAAUCAAACUAGCACGUUAGGAGAUGCCCGUAACGGUAGGUAAAGCAUUUCCCUAUGUACAAAGUUUAUCUGAAAAUCUACUUGUCUUAAAAGCAGUAUCACAUUCCUUGACCACCCAUGAAGCAAACUCCAUUGCAGGCAAUCGCGAUUCUUCGAUCUAUUCUUCUCUGUAAAUAGACUUUCAAAUUCAUCGAUUAUGAUUGAUGGUCUAAUCCUACAAUGGCUUGCAUUCCCUUCUCAUUACCAGCUCCUGAAAUAACAUGUGGGAGGUCUCAUUCCUCCCUCACUGUACCAACAAACUCUAGUCACUGUUGUGUUGCUCCGAAGAUAAAGAGAUUGAGACUCACAACCACUCACUUACGAAGGCGGCGAUUCCCUUGCAAGCCACUUCGAGCUUUACAACCGACCGGGCCGGAAGAUCUGAAUCACCUGGCCGAUAAAGUGCCGCCUUCGCCUUUGCUAGAACUGACUCAGAAGUUCUACUCAUCCCUAAAUGACCAGGACAUCAAAAGUUUAGAGAAGCUGAUUGCUCCUGGCUGCAAAAUUGAAGAUAAAGCAUAUUAUAAGCCACUGCAAGGAAAGGUAACAGUUUUCUGCCCAAAAAAGCAAUUUCCAAUUGUUUACUUGAGAAAGGCUCUCCGCAAUUUGAGGAAAAGUUAACACCUUGUUUCCAGAUGAAUUCUGUGGAGAAGUAAAACAGCAAAAUGCCCACUUAUUUACUACAUUUAUCCAUCACUUCCCGUUUCCUUUUUCCACAAAUCAAUAAAAAGAAAUAAAACAGUUUCAUUUCUUAUGAACCAAACAAAUGAAACAUUACAUUUCUAUUCUAACAAAAGUUUAAAAAAAAAAAAAACAGUUUUUCAAUGCUUUCCUUGCAUUAUUGCUACUAAACAGCCACUUAACUUCACAUCCCUACUAUAUGUGGAAUGUACACCAUUUAACGAUGAUAAUUCACUAAUAUUUUCUAUGAACUUAGAGUAUUCACAAGUAUUUUGAAAGACUAGUAGAAGCCAUGGGAAAGAACGUCACUUUCACCGUUGAUGAGAUCUGCGAAGGAGGACGCUUAACGAUUGCAAUAAGAUGGCACCUUGGUAAGAGGAUACAGACUUCUCAGAUUUGUGUCAUGUGCAAACAUGUACCGGAACUCUAGAAGUUUGCUUUCUUCAAUAACUAACCUUUCAAGAGUUUUAUUUUUAGUACCCCAUAAGGGAAGCUGUCGAAGAAAUAAUUGCUUGCCCAAGAUGCAUCUGCACAUCCGUGCAGCACACUGUCAUCUCCCUCCGUCCUGUCUCAUACUUUCAAUUGAAUCAUCUAAUACAAAUAGAGAAAAGACUAAUCAGAUAGGUGGAAAAGAUUAAAGUAUGAAAUGAAAUGGAAAGCAAAUGACGGAGUGGCAGAUGGCUAUAAGAAUGCAGAAUGCACCGGGUGCAGGGAAUAAUUUCUCGAAAUAAUGAGUAUAGCAAUGUAUUGAAAUCAGAAUUUAAGAAACAUUAGGUACAAAACUACAAAAUUUAAACUAUUAAAGUUCAAGUAUCUUUUUUCAAAUGGCCUGUAGUUCAAGCAGCCUUCUAGCCUUUUUACCUCUAAGUCUUUUACAGCAAUAUUUAGAGAAGCAUUGCUUGAAUUUGCUAAUAAUAGCAUCAUUUUACAGAGUGGAAAGGAAAGAAAAUACCCUUCACCAAUAGCUGCAGCUUCUACAAAUGUUCGAGAGAUGGUGAAGCACUUCUUAUUAAGUAGC
rnacentral:lncRNA from 1 species